rnacentral:lncRNA from 1 species
CGUUUUUUUUAUUUUUUUAUUUUUUUUUUUUUUUUUUUUUUUUUUUUUUUUUUUUUUUUUUUUUUUUUUUUUUAUUUUUUUUUUUUUUUUUUUUUUUUUUUUUUUUUUUUUUUUUUUUUUUUUUUUUUUUUUUUUUUUUUUUUUUUUUUUUUUUUUUUAUUUUUUUUUUUUUUUUUUUUUUUUUUUUUUUUUUUUUUUUUUUUUUUUUUUUUUUUUUUUUUUUUUUUUUUUAUUUUUUCUUUUUUUUUUUUUUUUUUUUUUUUUUUUUUUUUUUUUUUUUUUUUUUUUUUUUUUUUUUUAUUUUUUUUUUUUUUUUUUUAUUUUUUUUUUGUUUUUUUUUUUUUUUUUUUUUUUUUUUUUAUUUUUUUUUUUUUUUUUUUUUUUUUUUUUUUUUUUUUUUUUUUUUUUUUUUUUUUUUUUUUUUUUUUUUUUUUAUUUUUUUUUUGAAGAAGUAAAGUCGUGGCCCACCAUGGCAAUUUGAGUUGUACUGAACCAAUUCCUAGGAACUUCUUCUUUUGUGCCCAUUCCAAAAAGGUGAAACUGUGUGCCCGGAGGGUAUUCAAUGGUAUUACGAAACCUUACUCGAUCACGUAACGUACGUGUUUGUUUUGCCUCCUAUUCACAUCAAUCAGGAAGAGAAUGAGUUUACCGGGAAGCAUAAGAGCCAAACAAAACAGUGUGAGCUAAGUGGUAAGGGGGGUUAGCCUUUUUCGGCUUAUAAUUAUAGCAUUUUAGUUUUGUAGCAUCUCUAAUUUCUAGCUGUGCUUGCCUCUAUACGCGCUUUCGAACUCCAUCCUGAGGAGCUUGAUUUGAUUCUUACUAUGCUCUUCUGGUUGUGAAGUGCCAUUGUCGCUUUAAGGUGAAUGCCACCGCAUUUUCCUCAGAGAGCGUGCAACAAGAGCGACAGAAAGUGAUUCCAAGCGCUCUGGCCAUCGACUACGAGAUGGUGCAAAUAUCAUUAAACAUUUUUAAAUACUCUUGCUGUGUUUCAUCAGGAGCUUCAUUUAGAAGCAUUCAGGAUCAGGCAGUAACGAAUCGACUGCUAGAAAUUGUUUGCUCAUUCAGUGAGCUUCGUUCCCGGCAGCAGCCUUUAAGGUCCCGACAUCAUGGCGGGGUCCAUCACACAUGGUGCUCAGCAUUGAAUGUUUCGAUCUUUCAGUCUACUCAAUUGUUUUUAUCAAAAUUGAAUUUUAUUGGGCCUUUCUAUAUACGUUGAUUUUGCUUACCUACCAUUAUUACUUAUUGAAUAUUGUUGCAAUUGUUGAUCAUAUUGUAAUUAUAUUGUGUCUGAUAAUUACUCAUGUUCAUUAUUUAUGUUCCAUUGAUCACGUAUGUGGGACUUGUUGUUCAAGACGAGCUUUCAUUUGGGACUUAUUUUUGACUAUUUGUUAUUGCCUUACUUCUAUGCUAGUGUUAGUCUAAAUGUAACUUUUGUUCUCUAUAAAGAUAUAAGUUUAGGGGGUUUUUUGUUUAUUAUGGUAAAGAAUGAAUUAUUUGUCUAUCUUACACGCUUUGAUUAGAUAUCUACAUUAGCUAUAUUUUCUCGCCUUUUUUUAAUGUUUAACUCUAUUAUUCCUUUAUGGAAAUCAACUACAAAUAUUGUGGCCGGUUCCUGCUACGCUCUAUUUGCUAUUGUCGUUACUUCGCGUUCUACUGAAGUCCUAUAGCAACUCUGUGUUUUUGAAAAGGUGUGAAUUAUUGGCUAUUUUUUACAUUGCUUUUGUUUUGGGUGUCGGUUUUAGUUAGAAAUUUUAUUGUCUAUUAGCGAUUUUACUAAAUAUGUAUUAUGUUUUUUUUGCAAUAAACUGGACCUAUGAUUUAGAUGCGGAUUGUUCUAUGUCUAUUUACUAUUGCCUUGUUUGUGCCAUCGUAAGUUUAAUGCAACCUUUGUGCUUACUAACAAAUUAGAAAUGUAUUGGCCUAAUUUUUCCACUGUUGUGGCUUUUGAUUUGCUUUAAUUUGAAUUUCAUUAACGAUUCUAGUUAACCGUUGUUCUUCUUUCCAUAGAAAACUGUGAUCGAAUUUAGUGCGGUUGUUCUACGUUUAUUUAUUGUCGUCUUAGCUUUCAUACUACUAUAAUUCCUAAAAUAACUCUAUAAUUCCUAUAAGCUCUUAAUUUUACGUGGUUUCUUUGCAUUAAUAAAACGAUUGAAUGUAUUUUCUAUUUUAUAUUAAUUUUUGGCUUUGAAUGUCCUCAUUACUAUAUUUAUUUUCUUUUAAUUAGCUUUGUUAUGUUUGUAUUAGGAAACUAAUGAGAUUUGGUGUGUUUAUUUUAAUGUCUGUUUGGCUGAUUGCCAUUACUUUCGUGCUACUAAUGUCCUAAUGCAACAAUGUUCUGCAUCAAAAAAAGAAUAAAUGUAUUAUCUAGUUUUGCAUUACUGUUUGCUUUGAUUUUUAGUUAGAAUUUUAUUAUUUACUAAAAUUUUGAAACAUAACUGUCAUUUGAUGUAAUAUGUGUAUAGCUAUUUCUCUCAUAUACCUCUUUUCUCUUCUUUUUGGAUUGAUAAAUGGUAAUUUUUUUGGUGGCGGACAUUUUAUAUCUAGAUUUUUUCUUUAAUACUUUUAUCUGCCUGUGUCGCACGGUAUUCCUAUACUAAUAAAUAUAUCUAUAACGCAACCAUUUUAAUCGAGUAAUUUUUUUUUAUCCAUAUACUAUCUAAUCUCUUAAUCGACUGGAGUUGAGUUCAGAUAUUAAAUAGUUUUGGACAUGCUUUAGAAUACUCCGAAAGUAGUUUCAUGUGAGGGAACUUUUUUUUAAAAAACUACCCUAAGUAAUAAUAAAAGUUAUAAAACCUAUCUAAAAAAUUAAAUGUUAAAUCUUUUUUGGUAUUGUUGUCUUCUGUCUUCUUUAUUUUUUUUUAACAUUAGAAUUCUAUAAUUAUUUUUGACACUAAUUCUUAUAUAAUUUAUAUCAGGUAGAAGAAAUAUAUAUUUAUCAUUAUUGAACUUGCUUGUAAUACAUUUAUGGUUAACUAAUCUAGAUGACAAUUUCUAAAAAAUUAAAAUAAAUAAAAUUACUUCUAAUCUUUUUUUUUUUCGGUUGAUGAAACACAUAGGAUAAAUAAACUUGUAGUCAAUUUCAUUCCUCUCUAAAUAUCAUUUACAUAAAAAUGUUGUGUUAUAAAAGUUUUUUUUUCGUUUUUUUUUUUUGAGAGAGAUUGGUAGCACGCUAUCCGCCUUCGGUUUUUUUCAUUUAGAAAAUAAACUUAGGGCUAAAAACAUGUGAAUUCAACUAGGAUUCAAACUUCGUUAUAAAAAUAUUGCACUUGCUCUAAGUAACUCGUAAUGUUGUUAUAAAAAGUUUUUAAAAUAAUGUCAAUAAGAUUUUGAAAUGUAAGUAAGAAAUUUGGUAAAGUUGGGAGGCAAUUGUUACAAUUUAUCUUAGGAAAAUACUAUAACUGUAUUCCUAUAUAAACAUAUAUAUCUUACAAGAGAGUUGUUUCUAGUUAUGAUCACAAUAAUUUAUAAUUUAUAGAUAUAUAGAUAGAUUACUCUUGUCUUAUAAUAAUUACUAAAGUACUCUAUAAACUCUAUACUAAAGUUUGAAACCUAAAUGCCGUUCGCUCCAUCGAGCCACGUGGUCUUGACAUUAAAUACAAUGUGCAUUGAACAUUAAAUAUAAUGUGCCACGUGUCUCUCUCUCCCUCACAUCUCUCGCUGUGCAUGAACCAAAUAAUUCAAUUCACAAGAAUAUUGCCAUGUACCAAUUGCCUAUCCUUGCUAAUCAUUAGGCGUGCAUGCAUCCACCUCCCAGCUUUUCCUAUAUAUCCUAGCAUGUUCACGCUAUCCAACAAAGUAUGAAUGUGUAUACUUGUCUCUACUUAUUUGUUCUUCCAGUUUUAUCAGUAGUGCUAGAACAUAUUUCCUCCGACCUUGCUAUAUUUGUUUUGAAUUAAUUUGGGAUCAUAUCUUCUACUGUUUGUUAGGUGAAGGUAACAAACUAUGUUGCCUUUAAACUCCAUAAAGUGUACUGCCUUGAUAGUAUAGGAAUACAAAACAAAUAAUAUAAAAUUUAACAGUAAAAUUAAUUUUUAGUAUAUUACCUUGAUAGUAUUAGGAAUACGAAACAAUAGAUAUAACUUUAACAUUAAACAGAUUAUUUUUUCCAGCAUACUGCGGAGCAAUAACCUUACAUAAACGGCUAUCCUAAAGCUUAAACCAAUGUCGUCCCUCCAUCCGAGCCAACUGUCUUUCUUGUAAUAUGAUUCUCUCUCUCCCCUCACAUGUCUCCCUCGCGCUUUACAUCCAAAUAUAUGGUGCAUGGUGGGAAAAAAAUAUAAGUAGCAAGGAUAUUGCAUUGUACUUUGCUAUCUAUGUAACACGUGGUUCAUGCAUCCUCCCCCCCACCCCAGCAUUUCUUAUAUUAUAUGCUAUUCACUACGAAACAUGUGGAUAAAUGCUUAAAUUUGUCUCUACUUACUUGUCUUUUCGCAUCAAAUAGUGUUAAGCAUCUUCUCCAGAGCUUCCUAUAUAUAUAAACGUCAGCUUCUAUUACAUUUAGUUAUUGGGCUCUUCUUACCUUUCAUUUUACUUCGCUUUUGAGUAAUUUGAAUUUUUUCUAUUUUGUGCUUGUAUUUCUCUUAUUGAUUACUAGUGCCAGUUAUAUUUCAUCUUGUUUGUUUUUAGUUAAUUUAUUUUGGUAUCAUAUUUUCUGCUUAGUCUUCCUAAGUAUGUUGGUAAAACUAUCUCAUCUUUGUUUUUCGGAUUCCUAUCUUUUUCUUGACUUAUGUAUAUGAUAGCAGUUCUUACUUAGCUUAAUGUUACAUUCGCUCUAGGCAUUCUUUUUAUUUUUAAUUUGCUAAAAUUAAUGAUCAAGUUCUUAUCAUUAUUUUGUGCAUUAUAAUUUUCUUUACUUUUUAGUGCGUUAUUUGGUGCUUUUUUUAUGUUUUUUCGUUAGUUCUUUAAUGGAAUGAUAACAUAAAUUGUUAAAAGUAAAUAAAUUAAAUGGCUUUAUUUGUUUUAAGGAUAAGUUUUUAUGUUGGUUGAUUGUUGGGUUCCUUUCUUUUUUGUAUUAAUGGUGGACUAAUAUAUAGAUGAUUUUGUCUGCAUAUGCUUAAAUUUUUUAAUUUUAGCAGCUUAUUUGUUAGUCAAUUGUAUGUUAAAUGAUUGGUUAGAUAGUUCUCUAGACCAAGAGCAUGGAUGGGUUCUGGAUUUUAAACAAAACUAAUGCAGUCUAAUGUAUGCAAGAGUUCAGAACACAGUAGCCGUUAUUUUUUAUGAUAUAUUAAAUUUAUUCUGGGCAGUUUGUCAUUCCUAUGCCUUAACUUAAAAUGGUUAUGGUGAGACCGCCAGAUAGUCCUAUAUAUAAGAUAGGAUAGAUAGGGACCUUAAACUCUAACUUGGCUUAAAGCAUUUUGGGCCGGUUGUUGGGUAGCGCAACGAGUUAUUGUUGCUAGUGAGACAUGGGGUCGUAUAUUUGGGUAGAGAGGCGCGGGUUCACCACUGAACAUGUGUGAGCGAGUCUCGGCUGGAGCCAAGGUCGAAUGACGGGAACUAAGCGGGAUGAGUCUCACGAUCGCCGGUGAUCUUGGGGUGGUGUGUGAUUGGACUUGGUUGUCAUGUGGUUUUAUAAGAGAGUUAAGCGGCUAGGACGGGAGUAAGUCUAUAAACUCUUAAACGGCUAAGCAUUUUUGGGUCCGGUUGUUGCCCAACGAGUUAUUGUUGCUCAGUGAGACGCUGGGUCGUUAUAUUUUAGUAUCAGAGCCGGUUCACCAACUGACAGUGUGUAUGGCAAGUCUUCGCUCGGCUGAGCCAGGGUCGAAUGACGGGGGCUAGCGGAUGAGUCUCACAUCGCUGAUAAUGUGAUCUCUGGCUGUGUGUGUAAUAGUCCCACAUCGAUGGACGGGGUUGUCAUGGUGUCCGUAAGACACUAGUAAUAAUAACUGGGCUUAAGCAUUUUGGAGCCGAUGGCUGGGCCCAACGAGUUAUUAUUGGCUGUGGGCGUGGGCGGUGCGUGUAAUUUGGUAUCAGAGCCAAUUGUACGCAGCCGCGAGUGUGAGCUGAGUCUCGGCUGAGAAGGGUCCUGGAUGACGAUUCUAAGCGAGCAGAUCUCACAUCGCUGGUACUUGUGAGCCUGAGCCUGACGAGGACCCGUCAGGCAUUAAGGAGGGGAGAUUGUGAGACCCCAGAUACGUCCUAAUCAUAUAGAUAUAUAGGGGCUUCCAACUCUUAAGCACACCGGCUUAAGCACGCUUUUGGGUGUGGCAAGGCCCAGGAGGUUAAGACGAGUUAUAGCGUGAUAGGACGAGAGUAUCCUAGGAUGGGUGACUCCCUGGGAAGUUGGGGGAGGAGCGUCACAGAUGGUUCGAGAGCCAAUUACCAGCCGGAAGUGUGAGAUGAGUCUCGCUGGAGCCAGGUCUGGAUGACCGGGCUAAGGCGAGAUGAGUCUGCACAUCGUCUGGUAUUUGUGAGCUGAUCGUGGGACGAGGCAUCGUCAGGUGGCUUAAAGGACGGGGAGAUUUGUGAGACCGCAGAUAGUCCUAUAUAUAAUGAUAUAAUAGGCUAACUCUUAAACUGGGCUUAAAGCUUUUUUGGCCGGUUGUUUGGGAGGUGCCGCAACGAUAUUGUUGCUAGUCGACUGGGUUCCGUUAUAUUUGAUAUCAGAGUCCGGUUCACUAACUGAACAUGUUGUAAACGAGUCUCGGCUGAGUCAGGGUCAGAAUGACGGGCUACGAGAUGAGUGCUCACAUCGCCUGAUGAUCUUGGCUGUGUAGUGUAUAGCCCACAUCGGAUGGAAAAGGGGUUUCAUGGUGUCCUUUAGAUCACUAUAGUAAUAAUAACUAGGCUUCAAGCAUUUUGGGCCGAUGGUUGGGCCCACGCAGUUAUUAUUUGGGUCUAGUGGGGCUUGGGUCGUUACAGGUUAUCUCCGUCUCUUUUUUCAUAUCAUUCUGAAAGCGUUAAAGGACAAUGGCGGUCCCCCUACCCAGUAGUCAUAUAAGCAUCUGUCACCAACAUCUUGGGGUUUCUUGGCACUUCCCUUUUCUAAUACAGGCUCAAUGUUCGGGUUCUGAAGGCUUGUAUGUGGGAGUUGGCGAAAUAAAAAGUUGAAAAUAUUGAUGGAACUAAAGAGAUUUUUUAAGUGAUUUGGUCAGAAAUACAUUAAUCUGAAUUACGCAGAAGCAAAAAGGUCGCGUCAUGAAGUAAUUAUAUGCUUGAAGAAAGCACUUAAUUUUGAUGUUGGCUGAUUAUUAACUAUGAUGACUUAAUGUUUAUAAAUCUUUAUAUCGAACAGUUGUGUGCAAGCAUAACAACUCCAGUUCGAGCUACUAAUUUUCUAAAAGAAAUGUUAAUCUAUGCUCUCAGUGAGGUUGGACGCUUCAAAAUUGAGAAUACAGUGGCUGGGACAACAAGCCGACCAUGUUGCGAGGUUCUAUGGCCCACUACAAAUAAUCUCAUGGCAAUAUGUGCAGAGGAUGGGAGUUUGCGUGUUACGAAUUACUGAUAAUCUUUUGAGAUCUCAUAGUCUGUUCUGUUUAAUUUAUGUAUGGUUUUGUUGUUUUAUGUUCUGCAACUCUUCUUUGCCAUGCAGUGCCGUGAUAGUCUGUCUGUUUAAUAUGAUGUCUGGUCUUUGUUCGUUUUUAUGUUUCUGCAACUUCUUCCUUUACUUUGGCAGUUACGUAAGAUAUGUUGAAUUUCCUCUGACGCUUUAAAGCAGCGAUGUUUUCUGAAAAUUUCUAAUGUGACUUCCUACGUUAUAUCAAUAUUAACUACCUUUCGUCUAACAAUGGCACAAAAAAAGAUUUCUAACUCUGAUGCUAAGAGCGUUUUAUCAAUUAUAUUUGUAUUAAUCUAUAUUAUAUAUUUUAGUUAUCUUGGGCAGUAAUGUGAUUUAUAUAUAAUAUAUAUAUAUAUUUAUAUAAUAUAUUUAUAUAUAUUUAUAUAUAUAUAUAUAUAUAGUAUAUGAGUUGUGCGGUGAUUUAGGCAAGGCAGAGAGCCCUCUGGUGCCUUCCAAAUAUUUUCGGUAUGUUCGGGACUUUCGAAUUGACGAUCGCGUCCGUUAGAGUUGAUCUAGAGUAUUCGAAGUACCUAGAAAAAUAAAUUUUGUGAAUUUUUCGAUAUCAUUUGCCUACACGUGAUUGAGGGCCAAAAUCAAUAAUUUUUUAAGGCCGUUGUGAGCCGUUGCAAGUUUAACGGUGUAGAAAUACUCCAAAUCACGUGAAAUUUGAUAGAAAAUUUUUUGUACUAUAUAAAAUAAAGAUAAAUAAUCUUCCGAUCUAAAUUUUUAAUGUCAUAAUCAUCAACAUUUUGUGAGAUUUUAUUUCAGCCGUGAUUUUGAGCCCGCAUUCGAUCACUAGGCAAAUAUAUGAAAAUCACAAAAAUUUAUUUUCUAGGUACUUCAUAACUCUAUGAUAAAGUCUAACAGGCUCGAUCGUCGAUUCGAAGGUCCCAACCAUCGAAAACAAAUUAGAAGGCCCGCGAGGGCCUCCGUGCUUCAUAAGCACUCGCCUAGCCGCACUUAUAUAUAUAUAAUAUAUAUAUAUAUAUAUUAUAUAUAUAUAUAUAUAUAUAAUAUAUAUAAUUCCUUUUGCUGUUAGGUGCAUGGGGAUUUAUAUGGAGAUAAAGAAGUAUCUGGAAAAGCAGAAGUGUUGGGGCGAAAGCCAUUGGAAAUAAGGGCUGGCACAAGAGUAAGCAGCCAUAUUCGCUCACGUUCGGACGGUAUUCAGCUUGUUCGGAGCAUCGACUCGAAAUUAAAAUGAGCCGAAUUGAAAAUAGGAAAAAAAAAACUCAAAAACUUAUUCCAAAUUGAAUUAGGCUCGGAAAAACUUAUAAUAUAUAUAUAUAUAUUAAUAUAUAUAUAUAUAUAUAUAUAUAUAUAGCUAGGCUCCUAUGCUUUCGAAAGUAUGGGAGGCCCCGUGCUUGUAAGUUGUUUUCGAUGAUGGGACAUCCGAUUCGGCGAUCGGUUUCGUUAAACUUGAUCUACGCUAUUGGAACUAUCUAGAAACCAAAUUUCAUAAUUUUUUGAUUUCGUUUGUCUAGUGAACGAGUAGCCUGAAAAUGAACGGCUGAAAAUGAAAAUCUCAAAAAAAACAGUGAUAAAGGAUUCAAAUUUUAAAUCGGAAGUAUUGAUCUUGCUACUGAUGUUAAGUAGAAUUUUCUAUUAAAUUUUCAUGUAAUAUGGAUACUUCUACACCGUUGAACUUAAAAAUGUGCCACAUCGACCGUUAAAAUAGUUAUUUUUUAGACCUUUUGAUCGCUUAGUAAAUAAUGUCAAAAAAAUCUAAAAUUUGGUUUCUAGAUAGUUCCAAUAGGGUAGAUCAUACCUAACGGAACCGAUCGUCGAAUCGAACGUCCUAUCAUCGAAAAUAACUUACAAGCACGGGGCCUUCCGUACUUUCGAAAGUACGGGAGACGGACUCUAUAGAGCUAUAUAUAUAUAUAUAUAUAUAGCUAGAGAGAGAGAGAGAGAGAGAGAGAGAGAGAGAGAGAGAGAGAGAGAGAGAGAGAGAGAGAGGGCUGGUAUGCUUAUCGGUAGCACGGAGGGCUCCGUGCUUCCAAGUUGUUUUCGAUGUUGCGGACUUUCGAAUCGACGAUCGGCUCCGUUAGAGUUGAUCUAGUGUAUUUGAACUACCUAGAACUAGGCUACUAUACUAUCGGUAGCAUGGAGCGCUCCGUGCUACCAAGUUAUUUUCGAUGAUGCGGCUUCCAAAUCGACGAUCGACUCCGUUAGACUUGAUCUAUACUAUUGAAAGUAUUUAGAAACUAAAUUUCAUAAUUUUUCGAUAUCAUUUACCUAUCAAACAAGUAGUCUAAAAUUGAACGACUGAAAAUAAAAACCUCAUGAAAAAUGAUGAUAAAAGAUUUAAAUUCAAGAUCGGAUAUACUGAUCUUACUCUAAACAGUGAAAAGAAUUUUUUAUAAAAUUUUCAUCGCAUUUGGAUUGUUUUACACUGUUAAACUCACUAACACACCACAUCGGCCAUUAAAAUUGUCAAUUUUGAAAUCGUUUGAUCACUAGUCAAAUGAUGUCGAAAAAAUAUGAAAUUUAGUUUCCAAAUACUUUCAAUAGUGUAGAUCAAGUCUAACGGAGCUGAUCGUCGAUUUGAAAGCCGCAUCAUCGAAAAUAACUUGGUAGCACGGAGCGCUCCGUGCUACCGAUAGCAUAGUAGCCGGACUCUAUAUAUAUAUAUAUAUAUAUAUAUCUUUUUUUUGAAUUUUUCUCUAAUUUUUUUCUCCCUCUCAUCCUAAUCAUCUAUCAAAAUUGAUAAAUAGCUACGAACUUAGGAGCGUACAAGAAUUACUGAGCUCCUAAUAGCACAAUAACUCUAUUAUAUAUAAUAUAACAUAUAUUUUAAUUAUAUAUAAUAAUAUAUAUUAUGUAUUUUAAUUAUAUUUAUAUAAAGUUUUGAUUAUUGGGCAUAUUUACUGGCUCACAACCAAAUAAGCAAAAUCCUACUCUAAUUACUUUCUGUCUCUCCCCCUCUCAUUCACUUGCUCGUAUAGUUGCUUUCCUAAAUUAUUUUUCUAAAUAUUAUAAUAUUGUAUUCAUGCAUUUACUUUGUAUGUUGAACUAUUAGACAUGUUUACGUAUUAAAUUUUGAUAACGUUCUCUAAAAAUUAAAUUAUAGAUUAAUUGCGUAUUGUUAAGAAUUUCAAACAGCGCGUUUAGGGCUCGAGCUUGCUGGACUCAAAAUUAGACUAACUUGAGUUCGGCUCGAAUUAAUUUCAAACCGAGCUCGAGUCUAAAUUUAGGCUCGAAAUUAAUUUCAAGCCGAGCUUACGUUGAGAUAAGCUCUCUAAAGCUCGGCUUGUUUCCAACCCCUACAUGGAACAUAUAUAGUUAUUUGAUGAAAUUAUAUCUGCCAAAAAAUGGAUUCAGAUACAACCAAAUAUCUUUUUGAAUUCGAAUAUGGAUAGAAUUAAUAUUUGGAUAUUAUUCGAAUAAUAUAUUGUUGUGAGCCGAAUUUCUGGACCGUUGGCCCGGUCGAUAGCCUAAUUCAGGAAGUGAACAGGGAGGUGGAACAGCUUUUGAAGGUGACCCUCGAAAUUUGCGUCCCAAACUAAAUCAAAUGAUCGGCUAAUGAGGGAUCCGAAGGACGUUUACAGAAUGUUGAUUUUUACUAUUGCUCUUAUUCAUAAGAAAAUCUAACUUAAAACUACUAGAAAAGCAAGAAAUGGAAGGAAAAUAAAGAUUACAAAUAGAUUACUUCUAAAAAGCGGAAAUGUGCAUGAAAUAAAAUGGUCUUCUUGUUCUCAGGGAAAAAAACCUCUUUGACAGGUGUAUUUCGUUUAUUUAUAAUCCCAUCUAUCCAUGUCCCUGUUUCUGCGGGCCACUCCUAACAGAUCUCAGCUGUAUCAUGCCAAACCGAUUUUUGGUUUUGGAUACGUUCUUUUCAGAUCCUGGCGCACCACAUGUCACUCUAUAUUUGACUUUGGGAGCCCUCUUCAUAGUGUACGCCGACUUACCACGUGUCACCAUUUUUAUAGCGUCAACAUAUAUAUAUAUAUAUAUAGUACGGCUAUGGUGCUUGUAAAAGCAUAGGAGCUCAAUUCUCUCUCUCUAUAUAUAUAUGAAUUAGAAUUAACAAUAAUAUAACUAUAAUUUCACAUUUAUAUUAAAAUUUUUAAAUAUCUAUAUUUGAUUGAAUUAAAUUUAAGAUUUAACGAACACAAAUAUAAUUUUUUACAUUAAAUUUAUAAUAAAUAUAAAAAAUCAUCUCAUUUUUCCACAAAUAUAUAUUAUGUUUUCACAAAAAAAAUCAAACUUUUAUUUAUCUCCUCAUAGGUAGCAAUUAUUCCCCCUUUAUCUUUCAAAAAAAUACAAUUGAACCUUUCUUAUCUCUUCACAAAAAGUAGCAAUCAAAUAAGCAAUCAAACUUUUUUUUACGUAACUGAAACCUUGAAAGUAAAAUAUCGAAACAAGAGAAUAGAUUAUCGGAAUCAGAAAAACAGAAAAAUAAAAUAUUAAUUUGAAUAUUCGUAUUCACAUUUAUUUUUUUUCCAAUAUUCUCAAUAAUUUUAAUUCUCUAAAUUUUUAUUCCUAUUAAUAUUCAAUUGGAUUUGAAUAUAUUUUUUAUAUGAAUACAAAUAAUAUUACACAUGAGGAGUUGAACCGGAAUGCUAUCGGUAGCAAACAGAUUUUGUUGUCACUUAUUUAUUUUCGAUGAUGAAGCAUUUAAAUCGACGAUCGGAACUGUUGAACAUGAUUUAUACCACCUGAAACAUUUAGAGACCAAAUUUCAUAUUUUUUCGAUAUUAUUCUCUUGUUCAUCAAGUUGACACAAAAAAGAACGGCUGAGAAUGAAUAUCCUUUAAAAAGUGAUGAUAGAAAUUUUGUAAUUAAGAUGGAGAGUAUAAAUCUUGUUCUAAAUAGUUUUAAAAAAAUUUCUAUCCAAAAUUCAACUGAUUAGAAAAUGCAUCAUAUCGACCAUUAAAAUUACAAAUUUUGACCAAUCGUCCCUAGAGCAAGUGGCAAAGGGCUCGGUGGUUGGUACCCAAGAUCCCGAAUUCGAAUCCUAGUUGAUUCGCAUUUCCAGCUAAGUUUAUUUCUAAAUGAAAUAAACGAAGCGGGUAGCGUGCUAUCUAUCUCUUAAAAAAAAAAAAAUUACAAAUUUUGAAACCUUUUGAUCAUUAGGCAAAUGAUAUCAAAAAAAUUUAAAAUACUUCAAUCGAUAUACAUUAUAUUCAACGAUAUCGACCAUCAAUUUGAAAGUCCUAUUAUCAAAAAUAAAUAAAUGAUAAUAAAAUUCGUAACAUAACAUUCCAGUUUAAUUUUAUAUAUGAGUGUAAAUAUUGAAAAUAAUAUUUUAUCAGUUUUCAUCCGAAAGUGGGUGGGAUUGGAGGACGAUUGUACGGUGCGGUGCAUUGAUGACGAGCCAGCUGUGUCUGACAUGGCCCGUCGGCCGUGGCUGUCUGAUCAGUUCUUUCUAUACUGCUACUUUCCACAAAGUCUUCCCACUAACGUAGAUUGGUUCUGAAGGCUGCAGAUUACUUUUCCUUUUCCUCGGCCAAUGGGCAACAUGAUAUUUAAGUUCAUAGGUAAAUCAUAAUUGGGUUAAUUUCACUAGUACCCUGCAAAAAAAUUAAUAAUAUCAUAAAUAACCUAAAACAAAAUUAAUUAUAUCACAAUUAUUUUUCUAAAUAUAUAAAUAUUUUCAAAUCUAUUCUUAUUUGCAAACUCCGUUAAAUUUACAUAGAAUUAAAAAUUACUUACUGAUUUUUGCCCUUGAUGUUUAAAGGGUGUUGAAGGUUAUAGUGAAAAAAAAAAAUAUUCAACCCCCCUCAACUAUAUGCUAUUUUGAAGAAAUUCCCUAGUUUUUUUCUGUAUAAAAGUCCAUUUAGUUUUUAUUUAUUUUGUUUAAAAUAAUUUUAUUAAUUAAAUUAAAUAUUUUAAUCAAAAUCAAGACACUCCAUUAGCAACUAAUUAUUAAAUCUAGAAUUAUACUAUUUUUGCCGGUUGAAUAAAAAUUUUAGUUAUUUUAUCAAAUUUAACGGCUUUUAUUUAAAGACAUUAUAGAUUUAAUAGUAAGUUGCUAAUGGAGUGUUUUAUUUUUGAACAACGUAUGUAAUUUAAUUCAUGGAGUUAAUUUAAAUCAAAAAAUAAAAAUUGAAUGGAUUUUUUAUACAAAAAAAAAAUAGGAGUCUUCUUCAAAAUAGCCUAUAGUUGAGGGGUUGAAUAUAUAUUUCCUCACUAUAAGUUCCAACACCUUUCAAGGAUCAAGGGCAAAAUCGGUAAUUAAUUUUUAAUCCCAUAAGAAUUUAACGAAGUUUACAAAUAAGGGUAGAUUUGAAAAAAUAUAUAUAUUUAGAGGGGUAAUUAUGAUAUUACUGAUUUUGUGAAGAUAUUUACGAUAUUAUUAACCUUUUGAAGGGCACUAGUGAAAUUAAUCUAUUGUAAUUUGUGUUGCAAUCUAUUCGAAAGAAUAAGCGAUCCUAAUCAAGUCUUGGCUCAUCGCACCUUGUCUAGAACUAUUAAAUAUUUUAAGCCUACUCUUCCAAGGGAAUCAAUGAUUAACCGAACCAUGGAAUGCCUUUUGCCUCCCAUCAGUUGGACUAAGAUUAAUUUUCUGAUGGUUCUCAUAAUUCUAGGGGCGGUAUUAAAGUAGCUGGCUUUAUUUUUUAUAAUUAUGAUGAUCAAUUCAUUUUUGUAGAUGCUGGGAGAUUUUGCUGUAAUUCAGUUCUUGAUGCUAAAAUGAAAGCUAGUUGGCAUGCUCUUACUAAGGCUAUUGAGCGUCAGUUAGACAUUGCCAUUUUGGAGACCGACCCGACGCUCCUGGCCAACAUCUUAACGAGGAAAACGGAGAUCCCUUAGAAGAAAAGAUCUAUCUUUACUGAUUAUUUCUAACUUUUGUACGCAUUUUGUUCCUUGUGUAUUAGUCGCAUCCCUCGCGAAUCUAAACAGGAAGCUGAUUGGCUUGUGCAUUUUGGUAGAUAUGCUAAUUGCUUUAUCUUUUGAGAGAACAGUCAUUCUCAAGACCUACAAAAUUUUUUGUUACUAGAUGCGCCAAAUUGUGUUUCCUCGCAACUGCCUACUUAACUUUUAAUAAAAGGCUAUUUCGAAAAAAAAAAAGGAAAAAUUUUUUAUCUAUGAUGUAGGGGCAUAGCACGUCGCUAAUUUAACAAAGAGGUCUAAAAAUAUAAUCAUAAGAAGAAAAAUUAUAGAAUGCUUAUUUAAAUAAAAGCUAGUAAUUAAAGCAUCAUCCUCGCAUAUCUAAUAUUCCAUCAAAGCGAUAGUAUUUUUAUAUAAAAUUUUUGUUAUUGAGAAAUUUUUGUCUGUGAAUAAUCAGUAAAUAACAACCAUAUUGACUGUAACGGCAUGACAAAUCAAUCUAACUCAUUGUGUGGUCGGAUAAUAUUUUUGUCACGCCCCGGGGCCGAUUUUAAAAGCCUUUUUAAAAUAGAGUUGCGGAAAACGUGCCAUUUUUUUUUUUUUUUUUCAACCUGGCCCACGCGACGUACANGUCAGAAGCCAACUUCUCACCGCGGCUUCUCCGGAAAAACGAGUUACUAUUCACUUUAAGUGAAAACUAAUAAUCGCGUAACUUCUCCGUUUUAGCUCAGUUUCUCCUGAAACUUGACGAGUGCUUAUGUAAUUAAAUUACACACAUAAACAUCAUCAACAGAGAGUUUAGCUACACUACAAAAAUCUCAGUCCUUACAAUUUUCUUUAGUAGUUUCAUUUAUUUAAAUCAAAUCCAAUUUGAUAUCUAGAUCUCUUUGUUUUUAACAUUUUUUUUUUGUCUUUAAGUGAAAAUGGUUGUAAGGGAUGGUAUGUAUACAUAUAAUUCUGUUUAUCCAAAAGAGAAAAGGACAAAAUAUAUUUUGCCCCCCUUGUUAAUUGGGCUAAGAAAGAAAAUAUAAAAAAAAUUAUUUUUCUUUCCCUUUAUUCUGAUUUUUGGAGGCAAGAAAAUUGACGGCUAUGAAAAAUCAUUUUCUCUUUAUUUCUCUCUAUUUUUCUUUUUUCCUCUUCUCAAAUUUUCUCUCCUAACAUCUUUUCAUUUCUCUUCUUUAAUUUCUCUUCAUGCAAACACGUAAGAGCUCUUAAUUACAUGAACUGUAGUUAAUUAUGAGUUGCUGAAUAACGGCAAAAAGAUAGCUUUCACAUAACGAAAAAUUUAGAUCGAGUUUCUUAAAUGCAGUUGCUAAAUUGCUGUACUUUAACAUUUCUUGAUCGAGAAGAAAGAAAAUUGAUUUUCAUGUAUGGAAAGAUUGUUCAAUUUUUAUUCUCUUAACUCUUCACUUUUUUUUCCUCAUAUUUAAUGCAGGCAAAAAAAAAUCAUAAAUAAAAAAUUCACUAUCUUUUUAUUAAUUUUUAAUGUUAAAUUUGCUAAUUUUUUUUAAUGAUUCAGAUCAUCAAUUUAGAUAUAUCAGCGAUGAAUUUUAAAAGUAAGGAUACAAGGCACCAAGAUAGGAUUAUGAAAGGGCCAAGACUGCUUGAAUAACCUAAUAAAGGCCUAGAUUAGAACAAUUUUUUUUUUUUUCUAUGGGCUUUAAUUUCUGAAAUUUGGGCUCGUUUAUCUGCCCAUGUGGUGCAGGCAAUCUUUACAAAUCAACAAUCUAAUUCUAUUUGGAGGUAAUUUGUAAUAUCUGAGAUAUUUGAAAUGAGUAAUUCAAAUGAAAUUGAAUUUGAAUUCAAAUUUCGAUUAUAUAUAUGGUGUGGUGUGAAUAUAUAUAUAUAUUAGAGGAGAGAGAAGAGAGAGAGAGAGAGAGAGAGAUGAAAGAGAGGAGUUCAGCUGGAAACUAUGAUAGCACCAAGCGCCUUGAUUCUACUGGUGUUCUGCCGUUAAAUUUAACUCUUUGUCUAUUUUAUUCGUUAGGAAUAUACUAUUCAACCAAUAACUCACCCAACCCUAGAAAACUUUACAUCAUCAUAACCGUACAUUUUUCAUCCAAGGGCCGAAAAUCUAAUUAGCAUCAAUAGCUUUGGUGAUAUUAAUAGUUAUUCUCUCUCUUCUCUCUCUCUCUCUCGUCUUCUCUUCUUCUCUCUCUCUCUCUCCUCUUCUAUAUAUAUAUAUGUAUAUAUAUAGAGUCCAGCAUUAUGGUGCUGUAAAAGCACAAGCAUUUGAUAUUUGUAAAUUUUUUACCGUUUAGAUCUACGCCUGUUAUCAUUUUCAACCGUUAGAUUAUGCCUAUUCAACAAGCCACUCACUCAAUCUUAGGGGGGCCCACAUCAUCCUAACUGCCAUUCUUUAAUCCAACGGCAAAAAUCUAAUACGCACCAACGACUUGUACUUUUAAAAGCAUAGAAGCUCAAUUAUAUAUAUAUAUAUAUAUAUAUAUAUAUAUAUAUAUAUAUAUAUAUAUGUGCUAGGCUACUAUACUAUUGCGUAGCACGGACGCCUCCGUGCUACCAAGUUGGUUUUCAAUGAUGCCCAGCUUCCGAAUCGACGAUCGGCUCGUUAGACUUGAUUUACACUAUUGAAAAGUAUUUGGAAAACUAAAUUUCAUAAAUUUUUCGGUACAUUUACCUAUCAAACGAGAAGUUUUAAAAUGACCGGCUCCGAAAUAAAUAUCUCAUAAAAAUAAUUGAUUAGCAGACUUGUAUUUUAAGAUCAGAGGUACUGAUCUUACUCUAAAUAGUAAAAAGAAUUUUCUAUAAAAAUUUCAUCUGAUUUGGAUUGUUUUACACCGUUAAAUUUACAAAUGCAUCACAUCUACCAUUAAAAUUAUCAAUUUUGAGACCUUUUGAUCACUAGCCAAAUGAUGUCGAAAAAUUCUGAAAUUUAAUUUCCAAAUACUUUCAAUAGUGUAGAUCAAGUCUAAUGGAGCCAUUGUCGAUUUGGAAGCCGCAUUAUCGAAAACAACUUGGUAGCACGGAGGCCUACCGAUAGUAUAGCAGCCGGACUCUAUAUAUAUAUAUAUAUAUAUAUAUAUAUAUAAAAUCUAGCUACUAUCCUAUUAAUAGGAUGGAGACCAUCGUUCUAUCAAGUCGUUCUUGAUGAUAGAGAUGCCGAAUCGAUGAUCGGAACCAUCAAAAUUGAUCUAGAGUAUUUGAUAUAUCUAGAAACUAAAUUUCAGAAAUUUUAAAAAUCAUUUACAUACUGAUCAAAGGAUCGUAAAAUCGACAAUUUUUUAUGGCCUAUCUGAGCUGUUUGCUUAUUUAACGGUGUCGAGCAAUCCAAACUGCUUGAAUUUUUUAUAGAAACUUUUUUAUACUAUUUAGAUAAUAUUUGAUAACGCUGAUUAUGAAUUGAGAAAGUCUAACAUCUAUUUUAAGAAGUUUAUUCAUUUAUGACCGUUCAUUUUUCUACUCUUCGAUAGACUUGAUAAUGAUUUUUAAAAAUUAUAAAAUUUGAUUUUUAAAUAUUAUUAUAGUGUAGAUCAAUUUCAACAGUGCUGAUUAUUAAUUUGGAGUGUCGAUCAUUCAAAACGACUUGAUAGGACAAUGAUCUCAAUCCUACUAAUAGGACAGUAGCUGGACUCUAUAUAUGUGUGUGUGUGUGUGUGUGUGUAUUGUGUGUGAAUCGAGAGAGGGUGUGGAUUUUCGUGAAUUCGUGAUCAAAUCACAUGAAACAAAAACAUGAUCUCGAAGGUUCGGUAGUGCUAAAUGCGCCAGCACAGUCCGUUCGUAAAUCUGAGGGAUGGAUUUACUGCAAUUGCGCAAAAAUUGAGAAAGGGUCAAUUGAAAAAAUUCAAAUUUCGGAAAAUUUUCCAAUAUUUUAUGUUCUGAUUUGCACAAAAACACACUUGGGGGUGUCGAUCGGUUUUCUACACGUGUUAUGAGGGGCAUGCAUGAGGUUUUUGACCCCCCUAGGGUUUUCUUCCUCCCCCCCCUCCUCCCCNUGCAAUUGCGCAAAAAUUGAGAAAGGGUCAAUUGAAAAAAUUCAAAUUUCGGAAAAUUUUCCAACAUUUUAUGUUCUGAUUUGCACAAAAACACACUUGGGGGUGUUGAUCGGUUUUCUACAUGUGUUAUGAGGGGCAUGCAUGAGGUUUUUGACCCCCCUAGGGUUUUCUUCCUUCCCCCCCCUCUUCCCCCUUUCCCCUUUCCCCCCACCCACUUGCAAACCUAGUCACGCUCACUCCUCUCUCUCUCUCAACAGUAUAUCUACCUCUUUCCCUAUACGUCACACGCCGCCACCCCCACUGGCAACCUCUUUCAGCCACCGAAGAAUCCCCCAAUCUCUUUCCUUCUCACUUUUCCUCUUUCUCCUUCUCUUCCCUUUUCCUGUUCUGUGAGCCCAAGUUGCAAGGGGACCCGAGCCUCACUUCUUUGGCUUGCCCGUGACCUCCCCAAGCUCCGGGGUCCACCCCCAACACUCCCGUGCUUUGCCAGCGCCGCCGCAAUCAUUGGUACCACACCUCAGGCAGCCCUGGGCCGAAGGGACCCGAUCUCUUCUAAGCUGUGGCCGCCGCUGCUGCCGACUCGCCGCUGACUCCCCCGGCCUUAAGCAGCCCGCUACCACCGGCCUCUGCCACCUCUGACUGUGGCCGUCACUGCUUGGCUCUCCUUUUCUCUAAGCUCUUAGUGUGCAGGCCGAGCUCCUCCAGCAGCCGCCUUGCCACUCCCCGCCGCUGGCCAAGGGGAGCACCACACUCCCACCCCCUCCACUGCCGACUCCAGCCGGAGCGUGUGCCGGCAGGUCGCCGGGAGCCGGCCAGGAGUAGAGUUGCUCCCUUCUUGGUAGUCUAGGGCUCAAAAGUGAGCCCUCUAUUAUUUUCGGUGAUCCGAGGCUCCCCGAAUCCUCUGAAGGUGAGCAUGGCAAACCUCGUCGCUCACUGAAUGCAAUACUCACCUCGGUUUCUGCCGGUAAGCCUCCGUUGCAGAGUUUUGGCUUCCCCGCUCUGGGAGCGCUUUCCGCACCGAACUUGGUGAAGCUACACAGCACUCCUCGAUUGUCGUGCGCGCCCUAGACAAUGAGCACAAUGUCUGGCACGUUGAGAUCUGUCAGCCCGUGCCUUCGCCUCGUCCUAGAGGUGCACGAUUUUCGGUAACGGCCCUAAUCAUCGCAUUAUUUUAUAUAAUAUUAUAAUUAGUUGGUGCCUUAGGGGCCAUUUUGCAAAUAUGGCAUUGUGGACUGCCUCAGGUAGCGUGUGGUCACUGUUUGUGACCCUUUGGACUUGUUGUUCAGGUUUCGAAGCCUCAUGCGCUCAGAAAUAGGGUGUCGGUGCGUUUUUCAGGAAAAUCGUUGGUAGAACGUGAUUUCGCAUCAUGAUGGGUCUUCGUUUGCAUGGUUGCCUAGAAAUCAUUGCCAAGCCUUGUUGGCAACCCACCAUGGUCGCCUCGUGUGUUCAGAGGUGACCAAUAAACGGCGGAGGCUUCCGGUGCCAAAGUGGACACUUCCGGAAGCUCGGUUGUGAAUGAUCGAUCAGUGACGACCGAGUUGACUUGGAGGCUUGUGUUUGCUAUCUGGACCCCCAAAUAGGUGUGUUUCAGGACAGCGGGUGACUCCCUGUGUGAAUCGGUGCCUUUAGGGACAUUUUGUGGGUCUCGAGGGCAUCCCGAUGCAUUUUUGGGAUUCCCGGCAAGUUCGGGGAUCGAUUUUGGGAAACCGAUUCCAUGGGUGGUAUUCGGUUCGUGAGCGAUGUGUUUUGAGUCUUGCGGAUUAGAUACUAACUCGGUGGACCUGUCCUAGGUCCGGUCGGCAUGCCUCGCCUUGCAGGAAUACUUGAUCCGAAGUCCGUUCAGUAGUGCAUACUCGGUGAUGUUCCUUUCAUCCCUACUUUUUACUGCUUAUAUAUAUGCAUAUCCUGUACUUGAGCUCUUCACCACAUGACUUCGAUCCUAGCUCUACUCAGUAUACUCUCCCGCUUGCCAUGACAUAGAAGUAGAGCGGUAGUGACACUUGCAUUUGUAUAUUCUGAUUGACCUAAGUGUUUGGUGCCCGUAUACUUAUGAUGUUAUUUAUCUCAUACUUUCUAGUUGAUCUAAGUGGUCGGUACUUGCAUACUUGAGAGGAUGUUGAGCUUGUCCAUCCUAGUUGACCUGAGUGUUCGAUACUUGCGUUCCCGUACAACUUUGAUGAUCUGUUGGUCGGUGUGCCCCGAAGGGCGGUGAUUGUCAGCCAUUUGCCAACGGUUGGCUAUUGAUUAUAUUCGCAUCGAUCGCCAAAGCUCGACAUCAUUUCACGAACACCGAUAGUCUGAUCCACCGCAAGAGGGUAUUCUUUUUUGAAAAAGUGGUUGGUUGCCAAUCUAGAGCUCAGCAGCCAUUUGCUAGGGUUAUAUGCCAGAUAGAGCGGUUAUGGCUUGCCUGAAAUUCUCAGACCGACACAGAGGUAUAGAUUAGGUACAUUUGAACCUUUCGUUCGGUUGAUGUAUAUAGCUACGGUAGCGGUUGUUGCAUGCUUACUUACAGUUCUUCUCUCUUUACAUUUACAUUGUUACUGUAGGUCUUUCUUUACUUAUACUUGGUUACCAAUGAGUAUGUUGCCUUCGUCGGCUUGUGGUACCCCGUGGGAGACCCUCGUUGGUUUCUCAUCCCUAUUUCUCCACAGGUGAUGCGGGUAGGAUUGGUCUGGAUGCAGUGUUAGGCUGUAGUUAAUAGGUGGUCUUAGAGGUCACGAUCUACGGUAUACAUUUUGACUAUACUUCAUACUUAGCAUAGACAUAUAUAUGAUAGUAUAGUUUACCCCUACACUUGAUAGCAAACAUGUAUUUGUGGUUCAGUGUCAUUAUACUUGCAGGUUUUUGGAUUAUAUACCUAUGAGGUUUUUGGAUGCUUGUAAUUUUGAAAAUCUUGUGGCUUCAGUUAUGGUUUUUCGAACGUGAUUUUCUACCCCUCAUGAUGGUGUUAUCAAAAUAAAGGUCCUCGGGUGGGGGACGGUUUUCAAAUAUUUUUCGCAAUUUUUCGUUGAAGUUAGAUUUUCAAAUGAAGUCUCCGUGUGGGGGACAUUUCCUACUAAUAGGAAUGACUUAAUGGAUGUGAAUGGAUGUGACUAAGUGCCGUUAGUUGUAUGUUGGUAAUUGAUGACCCUUGUUUAUCCUAUAAUAUUGUGUGUGUGAGUGGAGGUCUGGUUGCUAGUUGUAUAUAAGCUACGCCGUGCAAAUACAGGAAAGACUUUGUUUGUUUGUUUUGAAAAUUCUCUAUAUUUGUGGUAGGUCUAUUGCUCCCUUAGGGGUCAAGGUUUUUGAAAAAAAAAAAAAAGGCGGUUUUUCACUUACUCUGAUUUAUAAAGAUAGCCCGAUUUCGAACUGGCUUUCAAAAUGGACCCCGGGCGUGACAUAAUUGUUUAUAUAUCAUUGAAAAGUUUUAGAUUUUUUAUUUACCCUGUUUAGAAGGUUAACAUAAUAUACUCUUUUAAUGUUCCAAAAUUUUUUAAAAUAUACCUCUAAAGUUAAAUUUUGUUAGUAACAACUGAUAUCUAUAUAUAAAAUUAUUAUUCUAUCCUUUCAAAAAUAUAUUUUUACUGUCACCAACUUUUUUUAUUUACCUUUUAAAUAUAUAUCCUUUUAGGGCCCGUUUGGUUCGAGUUAUGUAAUAUUACAAAGUAUCUCGACAUAUCCAGAUAUCUUAGAUUUCGGCAUCAGAUUACUACUGAUGCUGUAUUAGCGCGUUUGGUUUAAUGCAGUAAUGUAAUACUAGAUUACAGUGCUUAUAGCAUUAAUAUGUUUGGUUCAGUUAUAAAAUUUAGUAAUCCUGACAUAAAAGUAUAGUUUUUUUCAAAAUUACCCUUGUUGUGGUCAUUUGAAUAUUAUUUUUUGCAGAAAUGACGAAUGGAGGGAAGGAGAUCGUGAUGAUUACCUGGGAGGACGACGCAAUAGAAGAUGAUAGGUGUUCAUGCGAGAGAGAGAGAGAGAGAGAGAGAGAGAGAGAGAGAGAGAGAGACGUCGAGAGAGAGAGAGAGCGAGAGAAAGUGGCGUACGAGAGAGAGGGGGGAAGACGAGAGAGAGAUGAAAAUAAUGCUAUUAAUUAGAUUUGGGGUUGUUGGAGGGUGAAAUUGUCAUUUUAUAUAAUAUGUAGUAUUAACGGGUUUCAGUAAUGCAAGAUACACGACCCCCCUCCCGUUAAUAUUUUCGAUGUAAUCCUGCUCGAUUUGUAAUGCUACAUUAACGACUAGAUUACAUAGCGGAUUAACCAAACACAGUUAUCCUGGCAGGAUUGCCUGUAAUCCUGCCAGGAUAACUCGAACCAAACGCACCCUACUGUCAUCAACCUUUUUUAACUCUAUAGAAAUUUAAUCCGGAUUUAAUCCGAAAUGACUUAAUAGAUACUAACAGCAAGAUUAUUUUUAAAUAAUGGAGAAAUAUACGAGGGGUAUAUUUGAAAUAAAAAAGAAGGGUAAACUAAGAUGUUUCAAAAAUUUUGAAGAGUACAGAAGUAAUUAAUUAUCCUUUCUAUUCAGUUAAUUUGUGUUGGCCCAUCGAUAACAUAUAAUGGUCGUUUGGUUUGACAUAGCUAUAAAUACUACAUUGAUGGGAGAUACAUACAGUUCGAGAUGUGAUAAUUAUUUUUGCAUCUACUUCAUGUGUUGACAUGCAAUUGAGAAUACAAUUAUGAAUUUCUUGUUUGAUUCCUCACAGUUAAAACUUCAAUUUGCUUAUUUCACUAGUACGGUGAGAUUAGCCCUAAGAAAUAGAGAUUUAUCUUUCUUUUUUGCUGAUGAUGAGAGUGAGUAGGUAAGGUUGCCUCUUAUAGAAAAUUAUUCUCUCCAAUAAUUGCAUCUUGAAACCGACCGUUCCUAAAGCAAGUGACAAAAGGGCUUGAUAGUUGGUACCCGAGACCUAAGAUCGAAUCCUAGUUGAUUCACAUUUCUAGCUAAGUUUAUUUCUAAAUAAAAUAAACGAAGCGGAUAGCGUGCUAUCUAUCUCUCAAAAAAAAAAAAAAAACAAUUGCAUCUUCCACUACAUUUGGUUUGGGCCCAGGUGCAACAGUUAGGCCUCAACUGUAGGUUCAAUUGCAGUACAUAGAUCUCCAACUAAGUUUGGUUGACCCUAUUUCGAAAUGUAAUAGUUAAGCCUCCAUCUGGAGGUUCAAUUGCAGUAUGUAGAUGCAUAUAUAUGUAACGAACCAAACAAAACUUUGAGAUUUAACCAGAUAGUUGCACUUACAAUGUGUCUUUAGUUGCAAACAACUAAAGAGUUAACACCCGCGGAGAUAUGCUUUUUGUUUUCGUGUUGUGAUCCUAAAGAUUAUAUCAUAACCGUAAUCUAUACAACGGAUAUCUUUUACAAAAAUAAAUAGAAUAUUUUCCAUUGACGCUUUAUACAUUCUUCCUAUAAUCCUAAAUAGAGCCUGAACAUGCUUUCAUUAAUGCACGACAAAUUAGAAAAAAAAAAACUCUAUUUUUUUCUGCACGCGAUGAGCACAAGAUUAUAUAGAAACUAAAUUUUAAAUUUUCAAAAGUUUCCAAAUAAUUUUAAGAAUUUUUUUUAAUAAUUUUAGAAUUUUAAUUCAUUUUAGAAAUUGGGAAGAAAUAUUAGGAAAUAACUAAUAAAUGGAUAAAAUUACGCAAAUUUUAAGAAAAUUAGAAAAUAAAAUUUAGAAUAGAAAUAAGAGAGAAAUAAAGAAAAGAAAGAAAUAGGAGGAAGCGAAAAAAAAGUUAGAAUUUUAAAGAAAAAUAAAUAUUGGCCAGCACACAUAGCAAUAGAAAAAAGAAGAAGAAGAAGAUAACACUAUGAUUGUAAUAACCGAUCCAUUAAGAUUAAUUUGGAUUAAUUAAAUUAUAUUUGGAUUUAAUUCAGAUUUAAAUCGCUUAGAGAUGGAAAACCUAUUGGGACUAGGAGAAUUAAAGUUUAUAAAUAAGGAUAGAGGGGUUAAGCCUACAAUUAAAAAAAAAAAAAAUCUAAAACCUUAAAAAAAAAGAGAAAAGCUAAUAGAAAAUAUAUUAGAAUUACCAUCGUGGGGAAGAAGAAGAUGGGAAGAGUUAAUUCACAUUUUGGGUGAUCUGGGUUAACUACAGAUCAUAUAACUAGUUUUGCAGAUGAUUAAAAUUAAAUAGAUCUUGAUUAUGCAUUUGAUGAAAUAAUGCGAAUAGAAAAUAUGACAAUAUUUAUAUAUUCUUUUAUUACAAAUUCUUGAUAAUAUUUUUCAGACUAAAAUUAUGUGAGAAAACAACUGCGUGGAAUGGGCUAUUUUACAGUUUCACGGGAAUUCAGGGAUAAAAAUGUAAAUUGGUUGUAACUUUUGUAUUUUAACUCCGAUUUACACGAUUUUUGCGGCGAUGGGUUUCUGGCAAAUAAUCCUACGAUGCCUUAAGCUUUUGUUUUGGGAUUCAUAAUUUAUUAUAUCGCAAACUUAAAUGUUCAAUGAUGGAUCUAAUGACUAAUUAGUGGUUUUGGGAUUCAUUUGCCGUAAAUUAAUAUGUCUUGGGACAUUAUUGGGACAGCAGGACAGGUAUUGAUAUAUGAUAAUUAGAAACUGAAAUUGAAGACCUGAUACAUUUAUUGUUAUAAUUUGAGACUAUAUAUUACGCAUGCAUAUACUUUAUUAUUAUUUAUAUUAUUGGACAUGAAAAUAUAAAAUUGGAAAAAAUCAAUAAAAUUAAAUAGAAAUAACUAUCAAUUGAUAGUGAUUUCGGAACGUGUGUAACAUGACAUUCGUUUUUGGGACUCUCAUGAUUUGUAUGUGCAAUAUUAAAGUUAUUAAUUUUUGGACUACGCGUGAGAACACGCUCAAUAAGACUUAUUAUAUUUGGAGCUCCCAGGAUUUAUAUUCACGCACUACUGAAGCUCAGCAAAUGAAAGGCAUGUGAAUCGAAGCUCAGCAAAUGAAAGGCAUGUGAAUCGAAAAUUAUUAAAUAAGCAGGACUCUUUUAUACUUUGUUUGGUUCGGGGUUAAGGGGGGGAUAAUAGCACUACUGAAGCUCAGCAAAUGAAAGGAAUGUGAAUCGAAAAUUAUUAAAUAAGCGGGACUCUUACACUUUGUUUGGUUUGGGGUUAAGAGGGGGAUAAUCCCCCGCCCCCGCUCUUAAUCCUAAACAAAAAAUUGUAGAGGUGGGGUUAACAAACCCCACCCCUAUCGGGUUAUCCCAGGAUAAUCCGGUGCCCCCUGCCCCCUUGUUCGUUUGGGAUUAAGUUCGGGGUUAAGGGGUUAUUCCCCCCUUAACCCAGAACUUAAUCCCAAACACAAAUUUGUAGCUAUCGGGUUAUCCUGGGAUAACCCGAUAGGGGUGGGGUUUGUUAACCCCACCCCCUGUCAGAGCCCGCGACCGCCCAUUUGGUCGGCUUUGGCUUGCCAACAGUCGCCGAGCGGACAGAGUCUUCUCCGUCCGCCUAAGGCUAACAACAAGGUCAUGUACAUCAAGUUGCCCAGGUAACUUAAACAACAUACAUGAACAUUGCGAGUAUAAUAAGCAAGUACUACACAAGCAAUACAAAAGAGAGAGUUCUAACUAUUACAUUUCAUUCAACCAUUUUACAUGUUUCCAUUCAUUAUAUAUCAUUAAUUUACUCCUUGCAUCAAAUAGAUACAUCAUUCAUCUCGCAAUACAUGUACAUCAUAAGCGACCUCACCAAAAUACAUAAAGUCUCUCUCUACCAAUAUACAUCCAUGUAACAAAAUGGUAACGACUCUAAUGUAUAAAGGAGGUAGCUAUCUAGUUAGGGCGCUAUGCUCUUACCGCGGUCCUCUACCUGUCCGCAUGUGCUCGGUCCUGGAACAAAGUAGGAUGAGAACUAAUAAAUAGUUCCCAGUGGGUUCGGCUACCGACGCCGCCGAUUUUCCCACUAGGUCUAAGCAGGUAUAAGUAGAAAAGGGUUAGUGAUAAAACAAUACUCUAGCAUGCUACUAUGCCUCGCAAUAUGAACAAUAAAGAGCAGGUAAGGUAAACAAAUAAUAAUAUCUACUAUGUUCAUGAUGCAUGUUCAUUACAUGUAUUUCCAUAACUCAAUCCUGCCGGCCCACCCGAAGGCCAAGCCCCGACUCACACAACCAACCCCGCAUUGUGAGGAGACGUCCGCUACUCUCACCCGGAGCCGUCUACGGGACAAUUACGUUUGCCCUUAACCGUGAAGUACUUCGAAGACCACAGCUUGGGUGGAGUUACCACUGCCAAGCUAACAGACGAAUGUGAGCAUGAUCCAAUUCUCUAGCCCGAGGAUAACCUACCAACUAAUGGUAAUCAAAUCUGGGAACAACACCGAUCCCAAACUCAUAUCCGAGUAAUCACAUUGCCUCUAGCUAAUGCCACAAUGUCAAGUUUAUCUCUAGCUAAUGCCACAAAGUCAUCUUUGUCUCUAGCUAAUGCCACAUAUUCUUGAAUCUUACAUUUUCUCUCUAUCGAAGCCCGAUGUUCAAGUUCUUUAUCAUGCCACUAUAGAGCCAUUUGUCCAUAUCCAAUCCCCAUUUCAUAUAACACUAUGUUCUAUCUCAUACACAUAUAGAUAUACAUCAAUCUCAUGAUAGCAAGUAAGGAAAGGAAUAAUGACAUCCUACUCUAUGAUGCAUGAAGCUACAUGAACAAUAAUGGCCAAAGAAGCAACUAAGACAUAGAAAGAAAUCCGGAUGUUCCGGAUUGCACCCCCCACCUCUAAAUAGUUCCAAGGUGCGAGAAUCCUAGUUUCGUAAUUUUUUAACGCCGCCUCGGCUCUCCAGGCAAAAACGAAGUCGAAACCGUUAUUUUUUUCUAAUAUCUUCGCGUAGCCUCGUCGGAUUGCCGAACCGAGGCCACCAAUGCGUCAGAAUAUCUAGCAAUUAGGUUUAUAUGGGUUCAAUUUAGAUCAAACCCAAGCUUAGAACAAAACCAUAUUUCUAUGCCCUAGAAUCUACCAUUUGCAAGAAUAUACUAAACAAAGCUAUAAUUCAAGCAAAUAACAUCUAAUUAGCAUCUAGAGUUUCAUCUAAACCUAUUCCUAGAGUAUUUAAUCUAAACCCUAAGUAAUCACCAUGAGAGGUCUUGGAGCCCACCUCAAAAGCUUUCUCCACUAGCCAAGGAAGAAGGAGGAGAUGAAGCUUCACCUUCUAGCACCUUCCUCCACCAAUUUCUCCUCUUGAAUCCACCCUAGGAGAGAGAGGGAGAGAGCUUAGGUUUAGGUUACAAAUGGGGAAAUGAGAGGAGGAAGAUGAGACCUCACCCCUAUAACCCCACGUAAGUGCAAAAUUGCACAAAACCCCCCAAUGAAGCCAAGUUAUGCACUGCCCCGCACUGGGCUUUUUCGGCUACGGGGUCCGGACCCUAGCUGCGAAAUUUUCCAGAUUUGCUCUCCUCAAUGCCUACAAGGGUCCUACAUACCCCUAAAGCCAUUUCGACGCAUUCGAACUUUUCGAAGCGUCCCGAAGCGAACAACUCCGCACUUUGGUCAAUUCCGACUAAAGUUCGGAUUUGCACGUACCGAGGAUCUAGUAUCUUACACCCCCUCUAGAAUAGGACUUAGCCCGCCCCCUCCCCAAAAAAAAAAAUCCUGCAUAGCUACUGUUUACUACCUUGCCCCCAAAAUACCCUGCGUAGCUAUUGUUCACCCCCAUUCAUCUCUUUUUCUUUCCCCGAAAACAUCAUCCCCUCUCCUCAUCGUCGUUGGUCGUAAGGGCUUCCCCUCCGGCCGAAGCGAUUGGUCGUAAGGGCUUCACCUCGUCGCCAUCGGUCGUAAGGGCUUCACCUGCCCUGAAAAACUCGUCCUCCCUCCUCGUCGCCGUUGGUCGUAAGGGCUUCACCUCCAACUGAAGUGAUUACUACUUCCUUCUCCUCGUUUCGGCUAAACCCACAUAUCCGGAUCUAGUAGGUCUGGAUAGAUCUGUGCCGGUCUUCACCUGCGAUUUGGGGGUUUCCUCUUGGUCUCAGUUUAAGGCUUUUCCUCCAUUUCCGUCGCUGUCGGGGAGGCUUCGUGCUGCAACCCUUCUUGCUCUUCGACUCAUAUCUUGCCAACUCUUUUGCUUUUCAUUCACCCGCAUUGUUUGGCCCCGCUCCUUGUUUUGGCCGAACCCUAUUUUGGGACUUCAUUGACCGAGGUUGCCCUGUGCUUCUUGAUAUUUUGUCGCAGUUCCUUUGAGCUUGAUCUUUUUACUAUAAUCAUGUUUGAUAUCCAUGGUUACAUUUUAGCUAACUUCUCUAUUUAUCCAAUGCCGCUAAAACAAAAGAAUAUCUUUGCACGUUGGUGGCGAUAAUGAAGAUGAUGAAUAUUAGUAGAUCUUAUCAUACUCGUGUCACGCCUCGGGGCCCAAAAUAGUACCUUUUUACAAAUCAGAGUUGCAAAAAUAUAUAUAUAUAUAUAUAUUUUGUGAAACAGCCUGGCCCAUGUGACGCACAGACCUGUCACAAAUACAAAGUUUUCCUGCCUAUACGGACAGAGUCUCCUUUAUAUUUGUACGGCGUACCCCACGAUAACAACAACCUGAUCACAACAACAAUCUACAUUCACCAAUCUACAAGCAAUAGAUGUGAUGUAAUUUCAUACAGCUAGCCAUCCUUAAAGAUGACGUAUGCUUCUAAACACUCCUUAGUCGCUGGAUGAUGCGAUGCACAAUACAACAAUCAUCUUAUCUAAAAGUGCUUCCCACUCGGAAGCUUUAUUUUUAAACUCUAUUUGUAUAUCCAUAAAAACCAUUCAAAAAUUUUUUAAAACUGUUUUCUACACAGAAACUCAAUCUUUGAAUACCAAUUACUCCGAUGGGUAGAAACCACAAGGCAUGAUCCAUAAAUCUAAGUGCUAAAGCUUCAUAAAACGUCGAUUGCAUACAUAAUAGAAAACACCAACUCAUACAAUUUCAUGAUUAUUCAAGCAAUAACAAUGAUCAUCUCACCGAACCAUUUCAUUAUUUAAACUACUAAAUGCGGAAAGAAAAAUAAUCAGGGUGACGACCGCUACUACAGCCUAGCUGGGACGUCCUUCUGUCGCGCCAAGAACCAACUCAUCGCUUAUGCCACCUGGAAAAACGGGGAUGAGAAACCACAACAAGGUUUUCCAGUGGGUACGACAGAACCAUGAAGGCAAAUCAUAUUCACUGAAAAAUAAAGGAGAUAGAACAAUAGAUAGGUAUACACAAUAAGACAUGAUACGUAAGUAAACAACAGUAGUAAUAACAGAACAGUAAAUGAGGAAGAAAUAAAGCUAUUACUGUGUCAGAACCUCAACUGAAAGGAUGCCUCAAGGGUAACUAAUCCACAUCAACCCAAUCUGGUACUUGCCUUAUUGGUCCGCAGACCUAAGUGUUGGCUAUCACAGUGCAUACACUGACCUGAUUUACGCGUCCACUGACGACCCAUACGGAUAAGUACACCUCUUGGUUAGCAGCCAAACCGACUGGUGUCUAGAAUACACACAGUGCUGUGACUAAAUCAUGCUGAUAUGCUCAAUGCAAAAACCGACAGAAAAUCGAUGCCUUGGCCGAAACCAAAUACAAGGGCAUACAACACGGAACCAUGAUCAACUAGAUUGAAACACCCGACAAAAGAAUCGAUAUGCUGCCUAGACCCGAGGUCCACAAAUAUACCAUAUAUGUAAGCCUGGUCUACAUGUCUACCAACAACUAUCACCAUGCAACUAUCAAGAUAUAGAUAAACGAACGAUAAAUAAAGGUAACCAACAUGUAUAGACAAAAAUACUACUAUGCAAGUGCAAUAGCAGGGAAGAGGAAAGUGAAACGAUCUCACCGACUAUCAGCUCGAAGCACCCACCUGUAUCGUACGAAGUACACAGGUUGUCGACCGCUUGCUGCUGCCUUCCGCUAUCACCCGAACCUAUGCAUAGUCGCAACGAAGCCAUAAUUAGCCUAACCCAAUAACUACCCAUAAGCCUAAAACUCUAAGUGAGUAUAACCGUUGGACAAUCGAAUUUUCGAAUUUCGACUUAAAGUCACCGGAAGAUAGCCCGAUUGUUGCACUAACUCGACAGAAUGUGGCACCAACCCAUGAGGCGAUCUGUAGUAAGUCCCAAAGCUAUCCUAUACUGCCCGCUGUCCCAAAGCAUCGCUUUAAUGCCCUUGGGAUAGCCGCACAGUAAGUGCGCUAAAAUGGGGAAAGUCAGGGUUUGGAAGCUUGUCGGUCGACUUCCGGGAUGUCGUAUUUGGUCCCAGAGUCCACCAUCACCUUCAUGCUGUGAUUCAGGGUGUCUAACCUCACUCCAGCGCUCAGCAACUCAGCCAUAACCCUGCUGCAACCAACAGCAACGAAUACGACGUGAGGUCACACCCGAAACCGCCCGAAAUUCGCGUUAUUGAGCCCCGUUGAGCCCCGAAACAUGCUGAAAUGUUCCAUAUUUAAUCCUACAUUAUUUGCUAUCCUGAAACACUUGUCUCUAGGUGCCAGAACUGUGGCACAUCAUUUGGUGCAAGAGCGAUUGAUUCUAUGUGGCUUAUGUCGCGACCGAAGUCCCGAUUGUUGCCGUUUUGGCUUCGGAAGCCCCCGAAUUGCAAAGCGUUGAUUCGUAAGUCUCGAGGGCUCAUUAACGACAGCACACGAAGUGUUACUCUCACUGUGACCAGCACCAACACGAAUCCCACAACCGGAGCCAAAAACGAGGCUCCGACGGCACAAACAAUGACGAUAUAAGCGCCAAUCGCCCUGUUAAUCGAACCACGAGGUUCACGGGGAUCGGAUAAUGAACAAGGACAAAAAUAUUUUAGUAUGUAUGCUGCCCAUAGCAGCUACGAUGCGAAAGCAUCGCUGUGAUGCAAAUGCAAACACAAACGCACGACUACGAUCUCAAACGUGCGAUAGUCUUCGACAACUACGAGUUCAGAGCCUUACCGCUGUUCCAGAGGCUUCAAAAACAUAGCGAAGAUGAGAUACACAUGAUUCUAAGGUGUUGGACUCCCUCCUUGACAGCCCAAGCGAGGUUCAAAAGCAAGUCGGGGAAGGUUGCAGCAGGUCGGGGAGGUUCAGAGGGAGGAUUUGGCGACGUCCAAAAGCAGCUGGCGCCGCGCCCUAGCUGGUGCGAUCAACCCUCAAUGCUGGACCCAAGCCAAUGCAACCAUGGGCAAGGUCGGUCCAAGGGUUCGAGGGCGCUGUGCUGGGAUGAAGCAAGGGCCGAGGGAGAUCCUCCAAUCCUCCAACUACCAAACUGAGAGAGAGAAGAAGGUGACAGGACCGUUGGGAUCGAAGAUUGUGCGAGGGGGAGAGAGAGGGUGUGGGUUCUCCCUCUCACCAAUGCUCUGGCGUGUGGGGUGGCCGACCACCGGCCAAGGGGCUGCGGCUGAAGCUGCUGUGAGGAGGAGGGUGCGGUAGGGAGAGAGGGCUUAGGAGGCUAGGGUUAGGGUUAGGAUAAUCCAAACCCUAGCCUCACACAAUCAUGCAUGCAAUUUCAUGCGAAAUUGCACGUAACUCCCACUGAUGAUAAAAUUUCGUAGCAAGUCCCUCACAUGAGAUAAAACUUGCAUAAGAUGAAACUCGCAUAAAAGUCUCUCCACAAUCAAUCCCAUUAAAAAACGUUCAUAAAAUACUAGGUUUACACUUCCGAAACCUAACUUGCGCAUUACUGAAAUAUCAUAAUCUGCCAAUUUUUUCUAUGCUCAAGUUGUUGAAUCCAAAAUCCAACUUCACCAUGUGUCUCAGCACUUUCGGACCAUCGAAAAUGACCUAUUGGAUUGAUCAAAACGAUGCCCGAUUCGCAUCCGAAGCUAAUGUUAUGUGUACGCUACCAAACGAAAUGUCGAUUACUAUUCACUUAAGUUAAAAUUGAAAAUCGCGUAGCAGUUUCAUUUUAAUUUAUUUUUUGCUGAAAUUUGGAAUGUGAUUUUUGAAUUAAAAUACACAUGAUAACAUUAAAAGGUAUCCAAUUUACAUAGAAAAAAAUUUCUCAGUCCUCACAACUUGAGAAUAUUCUGUUUCAUAUUGAAUAUUGGUAUGAUAUUUAUGAUUGAUUUCGUGUUAUGUUAGGCACUUUAAUUACAGAUAGGGCUGGCAAACGAGCGAGCCGGCUCGCGUUCGACUCGUGUUCGGCUCGAUAUUCGGCUCGCUCGAGCUCGACUCGAAAUUAAAUGAGCCGAGCUUGAACAAAAUAAAAGGCUCGAAAUUCAUUUCAAGCCGAGCUUGAGUAUUACUCGGCUCGUUCGAAUUAGGCUCGAAAAGCCUGAUUAUAUAUAUAUCUAUUAUAUACUAUAUUAAUUAAAUAUUUAUUCAUAAUAUAUAUAUAAGAGUUGAGAUAUGUACUUUUAAAGGUAUCACUCAUAUACUAUUAUCGUUUUAAGCCAUUGGAUCUAUUUUAUUGAUUAAUAUAAUGGCCCUUUGUGAUUAAACACGUAUUCCACCUACCACCCUACCACCUACCUAUCAUAUCUCAACCUGCAAUUCUCCACGAAGGCUUCUAAAAACACAAAAGUAUCACCCAUUAUAAUUUUACCAAGGUUAUUCUACCCUACUCAUAUAUAAUAUAUAUAUAUAAUGUAUUUUAUUAUAUAUAGUUUAAUUUAAUUUGGGCAAUUUAAUUGUUGGCGAUAAAAUAAACCCAACAAGUUACAACCGGAUGCAAGUUAGAACCAAAUCUAAAUUACAUAACACACUUUCUUUCAUACUUGCAACUAUUAACAUAAACAAAAAUAUGAUACAUUCAAAUUUCAAUCCUAAUUUCCCCCCUCUCUCUCUCUCUCUCGUCUUUCUCUCUCUAGCCACUUCACCCAGUAGAGCAGUCACCCUAUCUAAUUUCUUGCAAUUAUUUUUGUUAUUUUGAACUAUUGACAUAUUGCAUAAAUUGUUGGUAAUGUUCUAUAAAAUUCUAACUAUUGAUUAUUUGUCGGAGAAUUUCAAGCAGCUCGUUUAGGGCUCGAGCUCGCUCGACUCGAAGUUAGGCUCGCUCAAGCUUGGCUCGAAUUAAUUUCAAGCCAAGCUUGAGCCUAGAUUUAGGCUCGAAAUUAAUUUCAAGCCGAAUUUGAGUUGACAUAAGCUCGCUCGAGCUCGGCUCGUUUCCACCCCUAAUUACAGAGUUCAUACAUUUUUAUCUAAAUAAAUUAUAUAAUUUUUAUCGAUUAAAUAGAUCUCUAAUGUGAAAGGUUUGCAUAGAAACUAAAUAAUAUAUAGAAAAAAAUAUUCUAAGAAGAUUUUAUUAACUAAUAAUGUUUUGAAUGCUGUUUGAUUCUAAAUUUUGUUUAGAUUAUUUUUAAUAUGUAAAUUGUUAAAUACUUCAUCAGUCUUUUAUUAGCAAAAAAUAUUGGGGAGCUGAUUUAUAAAUGGCUUAAAGAUUGAGGGCCUUCAGACAUUUUUUUAUCAUAAUAAAUGGUAUGAUUUGUAUUCAUUAAAAAGUAUCACGUAUAAAAGCCUUUGAAUGCAAAAUAAAAUAGUAUGAAUGGUAUGACCUAAAUUAUUUUUUGUAUAAAAGAUUUUCAUGACUUAAAUAAUUUUUGGCAUGGUUUAUACCAUUAAAGGAAUUUCAGUAUAAAUGUUAUUUUUGGCUCCCAAAAGUGGCUCUCUUAUCAGUAGUAUAAAAGAAAAUUUUUUAUAGCCAAAUGCAGAGAUCUAAAAUUUAAUUUAUCUGUAUAAUCAAUUGGAUAAUAACUUUUUUACUAUCUUAUGCAAAUAUAAUAAAAUUAUUAAAUUAUAAAUAUUCACUAAUAAUUUAUUUAAAAAUUAUAUAUUACAUAUCAAUCAUGUCCAAUCUUAAUUAUUUUAAAAAAUUAUAUUUUUUAUUUUUUAAAUAUAUAAACUGCAUUACACAUGCACUCUACUAGUAUCAACAAAAAGGAGAGUGAGAGGUCAAUGAGGUCCCAUGGUGGACCUCUCACUCAUUUUUUCCCAAUGCCGUGCGCUGCGAUUUUCAUCGCCCUCGCCCCUCCUCUUUUCCCCUUUGCUCACUCCAUCUCCAUGGUUUCUUCAAAAUAGAACAAGCAAAAUUGCUUGACUACUCGGAGGAGGUGCACGGAUCUGCGGAGCGGUGGUCGCGCAACGCGGGUCCGAGAAAUUUCAUCUUUCCACGGCCGCCCAAUUCAAAUUUUUUUAAAAAGUUUCAUCUUUCCACAUCCGCACAAUCCGAAUUUUUCGGAAUGUAAUUCGGAGAAACCGUUUUGAUAGCGAAUAUUUUGAGCAAGAAAAAAAAAGCGUUUUAUUCCGAUCUUUUUGAAAAAAUUCGUAGACGGUGUUUUACGUUGGCCAAUUGUUCGUCAAUAAUUUUCGUAUUAUACGUGAAUUAACUAACUAAGGCCAAAUACGAACGAGCUGAGCGUAACUAGUGUUUGACUCAUUUAUUAAACGAGCUAAAAUAUUUUACUCGCUUUUAGCUCAUGUACUACUGAGGUAUUCAAUCUCGAACUUAAAACUUAUUUCGAACCAAAGAGCGAGGUUAUCACUGCCAUCCUUGGGGAUAACAUUGCUUAAAACCAAAACACCACGGCUCUCAGGAAAAAAAAAAAAAAAAAAAAAAGAAAAAAAGAAGAAGAAGAAAGGAGGCGGGGAGAGCGAGACAGCUGGCUUCCGGUAUUGGAUAUGUCGUCACGCACAUGAAUGGCUCAGAAAAGGUCGAGCAAGAGCUUCUGGACCACCGCAAACUUCCAAAAUGUCAUUUUUCUAUUGAAUUCUAAUACUAUAAUAAUGAACAAAAGUUUCUAUUGAAUCGAAAUUGAAAACUUCGUAUACGUAUCUAUUAUAUCAUGAUAGGAAAUUAAAUAUCAAACAUAUCACAAUCACAAUCAAAUUAUAAAAAGCUAAAUUUUAUUUUAUCAUAACUUAUCAUUCAAGUCAUAAAACAUGAAUUAUAUGUGUGAGGCUACGAUACUUUUGGAAGCACGUGACCUUCCGUGCUUUCAGAUCGUUUUCAUGUUGCGACUUUAUCUAGAAUAUUUGAAAUAUCUAUAAAAUAAAUUUUAUGAUUUUUCGAUAUCAUUUGCCUAGUGAUCGAAGGGCUCAAAAUUAAUAAUUUUAAUGGCCGUAGUGAGCCGAUUGCAAGUUUAACGGUGUAGAAAUAUUCAAAUCACAUGAAAUUUUGAUAGAAAAUUCUUUAUACUAUCUAAAACAAGAUCAAUAUCUUUUAUCUAAAAUUUUAAUGUUAUAUUAUCACGUUUUAUAUGAUUUUUAUUUUCAGCCAUUGAUUUGAGCCCCUUCGUUCACUAGGCAAAUAAUAUUAAAAAAUCGCAUAAUUUAUUUUCUAGGUACUUCAAAUACUCUAGAUCAAGUUUAACAGAGCCGACCGACGAUUCGAAAGUCGCAACAUAAAAAACGACCUGAAAGCACGGAAGGCUUCGUGCUUUCAGAAUCAUAGUAGCCUCAUUCGAAUUAUAUUUAUAACCGUUAAAAUAUAUUCCUACUCUAAAUUCUAUUUUGAAUAAAAUCUCAAGACUUUAGGAAUUUUCCUAGUAUCCGUAUACCUGUUCCUAAUCCGAAACUUUCAAGAUUAUAUUCCUAACUUUUAUAAAUUUAUUCUAUAUAAAAAAAUCUAAUUUUUUUUUAAAAAAUAAAAAAAUUAAUAAAAACAACAAUUUCAGCUAAGGUUAUAUUUAGCUAAAUACAUUUCUAAAAAAAAAAGAACUAAUUAAGCAGGUACAUUGUUAACUUCCUGUCAAAAAAAAUCCAAAAUUUUAAAAAAUGAAAUUAAAAUAAAUUCGGAUCAUAUUCUUGUUUGGAUCACCAUUUAGAAUUCUAAUCAGAUUUUAAAAAAAGAUAAAUUUUACACUAUUUAUUCUAGAAUUUAAAAAAUUAUUUAAAUUCUUAAUGUAAAACAAAUGACAAGACAACGGAGCCAAUAUGAGUCUUUGGAUUAAGGGUUGAAGAUUUGCACCUCAAUUUAGGUGUACACGUAUAAUUAAUUGUUCAUGCCAAAAUAAAAUAAUUCAUGUGCAUGAUAUAAAUUUUAUAUCUCUACAUUCAAGGAUUGAUAAAGCGUUUUUAAAAUUUUAGCAAACAAAAAUUUUAAUAAUACAACUGAGUGAAUAUAAACUAUAUAAAACUAGGGGUGUCAACGAGCCGAACACGAGCAAGUUGAGGUUGGCUCGUAUUAGACUCGUUUCAUUAAUGAGCAGAUUUCGAACUGGCUCAUUAAAGUAUCGAGCCAAAAAAUUUCAGCUCGUGUUCGGGUCAUUUAUUAACGAACCAAACACGAGCUGACUUACAAACAACAAGUUAAUAGAUUAUAAAGAAUAUAUAUAUAUAUAUAUAUAUAUAUAUAUAUAUAUAUAUAUAUAUAUGAGUGUGUGUUGUAUGUAUAUGUAUAUGUAUAUGUAUGUGUGUGUUGUAUGGAUAUGUGUAUGUAUAUGUAUAUAUAUCUAUUUACACGUAUAUAUAUNNNNNNNNNNNNNNNNNNNNNNNNNNNNNNNNNNNNNNNNNNNNNNNNNNNNNNNNNNNNNNNNNNNNNNNNNNNNNNNNNNNNNNNNNNNNNNNNNNNNNNNNNNNNNNNNNNNNNNNNNNNNNNNNNNNNNNNNNNNNNNNNNNNNNNNNNNNNNNNNNNNNNNNNNNNNNNNNNNNNNNNNNNNNNNNNNNNNNNNNNNNNNNNNNNNNNNNNNNNNNNNNNNNNNNNNNNNNNNNNNNNNNNNNNNNNNNNNNNNNNNNNNNNNNNNNNNNNNNNNNNNNNNNNNNNNNNNNNNNNNNNNNNNNNNNNNNNNNNNNNNNNNNNNNNNNNNNNNNNNNNNNNNNNNNNNNNNNNNNNNNNNNNNNNNNNNNNNNNNNNNNNNNNNNNNNNNNNNNNNNNNNNNNNNNNNNNNNNNNNNNNNNNNNNNNNNNNNNNNNNNNNNNNNNNNNNNNNNNNNNNNNNNNNNNNNNNNNNNNNNNNNNNNNNNNNNNNNNNNNNNNNNNNNNNNNNNNNNNNNNNNNNNNNNNNNNNNNNNNNNNNNNNNNNNNNNNNNNNNNNNNNNNNNNNNNNNNNNNNNNNNNNNNNNNNNNNNNNNNNNNNNNNNNNNNNNNNNNNNNNNNNNNNNNNNNNNNNNNNNNNNNNNNNNNNNNNNNNNNNNNNNNNNNNNNNNNNNNNNNNNNNNNNNNNNNNNNNNNNNNNNNNNNNNNNNNNNNNNNNNNNNNNNNNNNNNNNNNNNNNNNNNNNNNNNNNNNNNNNNNNNNNNNNNNNNNNNNNNNNNNNNNNNNNNNNNNNNNNNNNNNNNNNNNNNNNNNNNNNNNNNNNNNNNNNNNNNNNNNNNNNNNNNNNNNNNNNNNNNNNNNNNNNNNNNNNNNNNNNNNNNNNNNNNNNNNNNNNNNNNNNNNNNNNNNNNNNNNNNNNNNNNNNNNNNNNNNNNNNNNNNNNNNNNNNNNNNNNNNNNNNNNNNNNNNNNNNNNNNNNNNNNNNNNNNNNNNNNNNNNNNNNNNNNNNNNNNNNNNNNNNNNNNNNNNNNNNNNNNNNNNNNNNNNNNNNNNNNNNNNNNNNNNNNNNNNNNNNNNNNNNNNNNNNNNNNNNNNNNNNNNNNNNNNNNNNNNNNNNNNNNNNNNNNNNNNNNNNNNNNNNNNNNNNNNNNNNNNNNNNNNNNNNNNNNNNNNNNNNNNNNNNNNNNNNNNNNNNNNNNNNNNNNNNNNNNNNNNNNNNNNNNNNNNNNNNNNNNNNNNNNNNNNNNNNNNNNNNNNNNNNNNNNNNNNNNNNNNNNNNNNNNNNNNNNNNNNNNNNNNNNNNNNNNNNNNNNNNNNNNNNNNNNNNNNNNNNNNNNNNNNNNNNNNNNNNNNNNNNNNNNNNNNNNNNNNNNNNNNNNNNNNNNNNNNNNNNNNNNNNNNNNNNNNNNNNNNNNNNNNNNNNNNNNNNNNNNNNNNNNNNNNNNNNNNNNNNNNNNNNNNNNNNNNNNCCAGGCAAAUGAUAUCAAAAAUCACAAAAAUUUAUUUCAGGGUACUUCAAAAUACCUAGAUUCAAUUCUAACGGUACGAUCGUCGAUUGAAAGUCGAAAACAUCGAAAACACUUGGAAGCACAGGAGGGCUCCGUGCUUCCACAGCAUACCAGCCCAUCUUCUCUCUCUCUCUUCUCUUCUCUCUCUCUCCUCUCUCUCUCUAUAAUAUUAUAUAUAAUAAAUAAUUGUAUUAUAUAUAUUAUAUAUAUAGUUGAGCAGAAUACUACGUAGUAAACGAGCCCGCUUUAUACGAUUUGUUUUCGAUGAUAGAGGCUUCCAAAUUGACGAUCGGCUCGGUUAAUAUGAUUAAACCAUUUAAACUAUCCUAGAAAUCAAAUUUCACGACUUCGAUAUUGUUCUCUUUAUCCAUCCAGUGAACAGAAAACUAUGAAUAUGGCUGAAAAUGAUACUUUUAAAAAAUGAUGAUAGGAAGUCUUCCUAAUCAAGAUCAAGAGUAUACGGAUCUUGUUUUAAAUAGUUAAAGAUUUUCUUAACAAAAAUUUAAGUGAUUUGGAUAUCUUUACCCCGGUUAAACGAGAAAACUCCUUUACUUCGACAUUAAAAUUACAAAUUUGAACCCCUUUGAUCAUUAGGCAAAUGAUGUCGAAAAGAUUUUUGGAAAAAUUUGAUUUCUAAACACUUCAAGUCGGUAUAGAUCAUUUCAACGAGCCGAUCGUCAAUUGGAAAGUUCUAUAUCGAAAAAAAUCGGCUUAGUAAAACGGUCGUUUUACUACCGACAGUAUCUCUAGCAAACUCUCUCUCUCUCUAAUAUAUAUAAUAUAUAUAUAGAAGAGAGACAGAGAGAAGAGAAGAGAGAAGGAGAGAGAGAGAGAGAGAGCAGAGAGAGAGAGAGAGAGAGUUGGACUGGGCUUCUAUUGUAGCAAAAUUUCAUUGUUACUACAGUUUUUUAGUUCUUUGUGAUCAACUCUUUUUAUUAUUUCUAACAAUUAGAUUAUAUACUAUAACCCAUGGGGACCACUCAACCCUAGGGUGAGGACAGACUCAACUCCUAACUGACUAAUAUCAUCCUGGACCUACAAUUUUUCAUCAAGGCGGUUAAAAACUGUGAUAGCAAAAAGAGCGUUUUAUAUUAAUAGUAUUCCAGCCUGAAUUCUAUAUAUAUUAUAUAGGCUCGGGCUACUAUACUUCUUAUGAGUAUAGACCCCCUUAUUAUCUCAUAAAUUUCUUGAACCGUUGAAUGAUGGAUUAUGUUAGGAUGAUGGCGGUGUCCCACAUUAAAAUGAUAGUUGGUCCCUAGAGUUGAGUGGAGGUAGUUGGUUAAAUAGUAUGAUCUAAUGGAUGAAAAUGUAAUGGAUAAAUUAAUGGCGCCGAAAAUUUAUGAGUAUAAGGAAGCCAAAUUACUCAUAAAGUAUAGUUAGCCGCGACUAUAUAUAUAUAUAUAUAUAUAAACUAGUCUAGAAUUCUAUCAAUAGCACCGAGCACUUUAGUGCUACCAAGUUUUCGUCCUUGAAUGAAGAAAUAUACGGUAUAUUGAUGAUAUGGGCGCCUAGAUGAUAGUGAGUUGUUGGUUGAAUAGGUAUAAUACUAACAGCGGAAAAUAGUCAAAGGUUAAAUCUAAUCGGCCGGAAAACUUGGUAGCACAAGUGUUGGUGCCUAUCGAUAGUAUUUCCAGCCGCCACUAUAUUAUAUAUAUAUAUAUAUAUAUAUAUAUAUAUAUAUAUAUAUAUAUUAUAUAUAUAUAAUUAUAGUAUAGCCAGCGGUUGCUGUCUCUUAGGGGCACGGAGCUUCCGUGCUCCUGAGGGACGUUUCGAUUGAUGGAAUUUUCGAAUCGAGAUCGAACCCGUUAAAGCUUUGAUCUUACGCGUAUUUGAAGUUUUUUAGAAAAUAAUUUUGCGAUUUUUGAAUCAUUUAUCUAGUGAUCGAAAAAUGAUUUCAAAAUCCAUAAUUUUUAAUGGUUGAUAUCUGCCGUUUUCAACGUUUCAACUGGUGUAGAAGUUUUCAAAUCAGAUGAAAUUUUGACGGUCUGUGACAGUUUUCAAGUUUACGGAGCCAAUCGUCGAUCGGAAAUUCCAAUCAUUUCAAAAAAAAUGGCUCAGAGCGGAGCCUCCGUGCCUCUGGAGAUGCACAGCAGUCUUGCUCUCUCUCUCUCUCUCUCUCAUCUCUCUUCUUCUCUCUCUCUCUCAUUAUAUAUAAUAUAUAUAUUAUAUAUAUAUAUAUUAAUUUGAGUAGAUUACUUUUAGAACAACAACCUUGGUGCUUCUAAGUUUCACCUCUUAGAUCUACUCUUCAUUACUAAUAGGCUUGUUGGAUCAAAAUUAUUCUAACCUACUACCACCUACCACUAUCAUCUCAGCCCUACAUCUCUCCAUCCAAUGCUAAAAACUCAAAAUCACCACCCUCAUGUGCUUUUGGGAAGAGUUAUUUCUAUGCUAUAAAUAUAUAUAUAGAGAGAGAGAGAGAGGAGCCCUCCAAUCACCGGGUUUAGCGCUGAGAGAGCCUUUUUGUUUCCAACCGUUACUGGCAUGCCUCGACGGAGGGAGAGAGAGAGCGAAUUUGAUGCUCCUAUGUUUAUAAAUACCAAUCAUAUGCUUGUAAGUUUUCGGCCCUUGUUAAGGAAUGUGCGGUUAGGAUGAUGUGGCCUUCCUUAGGUUUGAGUUGGUUAGUUGGGUUAAUAUUAUAUCUAACGGUGAAAUGGAUCAAAGGCGUUAGAUCUAACGGUAAAAAAAUUCACAAGCAUCAAAAUACUUAGGUGCUUUUACAAGAACCAUAGCGGACUAUAUAAUAUAUAUAUAAUUACGACGAGAGAGGAGAGAGAGAGACGGAAGAGGUCGUGAGAGAGAGAAGAAGAGAGAUAGGGCUGUUGUGCUCUCAGGAGCACGGAGGCCCUCCGUGACUCUGAGCCGGUUUUCGAUGAUAGAAUUUCCGGAAUCGACGACGGCUCCGUUAGACUUGAUUAGCUUUAUUAUAAAGUUUCUGAAAAUUAAUUUUUGCGAUUUUUUUAAUAUCAUUUACUUACAAUCGAAAGAUUCAAAAAUUCAUACAUUUUAACGGCUGAAAAUAAAAAUCUUAUAAAAAGUAGGUGAAUAGCCACUAAAAUUUUCGAUCAGAAAUAUUCGAUCCUUAUUGUAGAAUAGUAGUUAAAGAAUUUUGUAUUCAAAGUUUUCAUCUGCCCCCCCCGAUUUGAAUACUUCUACACUGUUAAAACUUUGAAAACGGCAGAUAAUCAACAUUAAAUUUAUUAAAUUUUUUGGAAUCUCUUUCGAUCACUAGCGGUAGAAUGAUAUAAAAAAAUGAAAAAAAUUUAUUUCUAGAAACUUCAAAUUAUCCUAAUCAAGUCUAACGGAGCUGAUUGUCGAAUCGAAAAUUCCAUCAAUCGAAGACGGUCAACGAGCCACGGCAGGCCUCCGUUGCUCCUGUGAGAGCACAGCAGCCCUACUAUAUAUAUAUUUGAUCUGUUAUGAGAUCGAACAACGUAGCGCAGAUGACCCUAGCUCAAUGCUCGGUUGUUUUAUUGAACGAGCUGAAAAAUUCAGUUUCCGUAUUUGGCCCUUAGUUAAUUAUUAGACUCAAAGCGAUUGAUUUCGACUCUCAUUUUGAGUUGAACUAUGAGUUUGCUCAACGAACAACGAACUAGACUUCCACCUUGACGUAAUGAAAACCAUAACCCUAAGGGCCGUUUGGAUGGAGGAUAAUAGGGGAUAACAGAAAGUUAUCACCGACUAUUCCGCCAACGGAGUGUGGAAAUUUGGCCGGGAUAUUUCGUAAUCCCGGUCAACCUUACUAUUCCCCGGCUUAUCCCGGAUAGCAAGGAAUUUGCUAUUCCACCAUUUUGGUAGAAGUAGCACUAUUCCAAUGCCUGAUUUCAAAUUUUAAUUAAAAUUAUAAAUUGAAUUUAAAACUAAAUUAGUAUAAAUAUAAUAAUGUUAUUAUAUUAUAAUACAUUAAUUUUAUUAUAAAAUUAAUUAUUGUACAUUAUACAUGUUAUUUAUAUUUAAACUAUUAUAAUAAAAUUAUAAUAAAUUAUAUUUAAAUAUUAUAAUAAAUUCUUUAUUAAAUUUAAGUUAAGAUUAGAAUUUUUUUAAAAAAUUAUAAAUUUAUUAUAAUAAAUGUUUUAAUUUUCCACCGUAUUCUUAUUUAAAAUUUUAAAAUUAAAAAUUAAAUUUUAAUUAUCAUAUUAUAUUUACAUUAUUUUUAUUAUAAAAUUAUUAAUUAUAACUAUAUUAUAAUAUUAUUAUAUUUAAUAUUAUAAUAAAAUUUAUAGUAAAUUAUAUUUAAAUAUUAUAAUUAAAUCUUUUUAUUAAAUUUAAGUUUAAGUAGAAUUUUUAAAAAAAUUUAAAUUUAUUAAAUAAAUUAUUUUUAUUAUUGUUCCACUCCUAUUCUUAUUUUAAAAAUUUAAAAAUUAAAAAUUUAAAUUGUUAAAAUUUAUAAUUUAAAAUCUCAAAAUUAAAGUUUAUAAUUUUAAAUUUUAAAUUUUAAAUUUUAAAUUUUAAAUUUAAAUUUUGAUAUUUUAAAUUUGAAAUUUAAAAUUUGAUAUUUUAUAUUUUUCAAAUUUAAAUUUGAUCUUAAAUUUAAAGUUUGAAAUUUUGAAUUUAAAAUUUGAGAUUUUAAAUUUCAAAAUUUGAAAUUUCAAAGUUAAAAUUUUAAAUUUAAAAUUAUAUAUUUAAAAAUUUAAAAAUUUAAAUGCAAAUAUAAUAAAAGGAUAAUAUGAUUAUUUUUUAUUUAUAAAACCCACUAUCUUUCUUAUUUCAUCUUAAUUACCUAACCAAACGUUAUUUUUUUUUAUUCCCAGGAAUAACUCAAUUUUCAUCCAAACGCAAAAUUGAUCUAAUCCCGGGCCCGCUUAUACCUCAAUUUAUAUCUAUUCCUGGAAUAGCCAUUUUUUGUUUAUCUUCGAACCAAACGAUACCUAAGAUGUAAGCCUUAUAACCCAGUUCUAUGGUGCUAGUGGAUUACACUGCUUAAAACCAAAAACAACAAAGUGAAAAAAAAAAACAUACUGGCGAUUCCGACCGAUUAGUCUCAUUAAUGGAAUUCAAAAGAUCAUCUCUAAAGUGCUUGCAAAUAGACUGGUGCCCAUUUUACCGAAGAUUAUUGCUCCAACACAAUCGGCCUUUCUGAAAGAUCGACUACUAGCCGACUCUUUUGUCACUGCAAAUGAACUUCUCAAUUGGUGCGCAAAAUCCGAUAAGGAGUGCGUUAGUAUUAAGGUUGACUUCGAGAAAGCUUACGACAAUGUUAGUUGGAAUUUUCUGCAAAGCAUACUGAGGUGGCUCGGGUUCAGCGACAAAUGGUGGGCCUGGAUCAAACAAUGUAUCGGUAACGCUAAACUCACCAUCUUAGUAAAUGGUUUGCCGACAGAGUGGCUGAAACCAAGGAAGGGAUUGAGAUAGGGGGACCCGCUUUCCCCCUACCUAUUCAUCUUGGUGGCCGACUGUCUGGCCAGGCUCACUGAAGCAGUUAGGGGUAAUAAUUUGAUCCGUGGGAUUGGGCCAACCGCAAAUUGUCAAACGGUGCUUCUUCAAUAUGCGGAUGACACAUUAUUCUUUUCGGAGCCAAAGAAGUCGGCGAUGCGAAAUCUGCUGUUCCUUUGGAAGAUGUUCGAAUGGGCCUCAGGUCUCAAGAUUAAUACGAACAAGACGGAAUUACACUACUUGGGCCCCAACGCAAGCAGAGCCAACAGACUCGCAGAUAUUUUAGGUUGUAGAGUGGGCAAGUUACCAUUUCGCUACUUGGGAUUGCCGCUUCACACCAAAUCCCUUGGGAAGGAAGAUUGGGCAUCGAUCAUUAAUCGUAUAGAGGUGCGCAUCGAAGGUUGGAAGGCAAAACUUCUCUCACGGGGGGAAGACUCAUCCUGGUCAAUUCGGUGCUCACGAACAUCCCGCUAUUCUACUUUACAAUCUUCAAAGCGCCACUAUGGGUUCUGAAUCGCAUUGAAGCCCUGAGAAGAUCUUUCUUUUGGAAAGGGUGCUCUAAAAUUGCAGGGGGCUCAUGCCUUGUAGCGUGGAAAUCGAUCUGCAAAAGCAAGAAAGAAGGGAGUUUGGGGAUCAAGGAUAUGGAAGCAAUGAAUAUGGCUCUCUUAACCAAAUGGUGGUGGCGCUUCUUCAAACAGCCAUAUCUGCUAUGGGGGAGGUUGAUUAAAUCUUUAUAUUACAUAAGAAGAAGGCCUUUACAUGAAGGGAGAGCCUUCAGACCUUACUCCCAGUGGUGGAGAAGCGUGAUGAGAUGUCGAGAGGCGUUCAAAUGUGGCGUUUCGUAUGUGCUAGGCGAUGGAAAAAACAUCAGGAUAUGGUAAGAUAUUUGGAUUGAAGAAACCCCUCUAAGUGGUCGGUUUCCAAGAGUAUACUCCAGCAUUGCGAAUAAGGAGAUCACAGUUGCACAAUGCUGGAAUGAAAAAUGGUGGAGAUGGCGCUUCAUAACUAGAGGCCUAGCUACAUCGAAUAUCAAUAGUCGCCAUCAGAUUAGGUUGAUCAAAAACCUGCUUGCCCUUUAUAGGCCAACUGACACACCGGAUAUACUAAACUGGCGUUGGACCGCCAACCAAACUUUUACCGUUAAGUCCCUUUAUGAAUUCAUCACCGACGCAGGUCAGAGAGUCCCAAUGUAUGAGCAUCUUUGGAGGUUAAAAAUUCCAGUCAAAAUCAAAGUCUUUAUUUGGAUUCUGCUGCGCAAGAGACUGCUAACCGCAGACAGAAUGAUCCGCAGAGGGUGCCUGGUGGAUCAGUUUUGUAUUUUUUGCGUGUUCUUUCUAGAAACCUGCGACCACCUGUUCCGGGACUGUAUCUUGGUCAGAUACAUCUGUAUUUGUGCCGAAGGUUCAGAUGCAAGCGAAUCGGAUGCCGGGGAUGUACGGAGGCUAUGGACAGAUACAUCUAACAUACCCAAUGCCGCCACGAGAUCGAAAUGUUUAACCCGUUUGGCGGCAAUCUGGUGGGUCGUCUGGACUGAGCGCAACAACACUAUCUUCUGCGAGGUGCUUCCCAAUGCUACCCGGGCUCUUGAACGUGUCGGUUCUUUGACCAAUGCCUGGAACGGAGCCCUUUGACCCUUGCUUGUCCCUUCUUCCAUGCUCGGUCCCCACUUCUUCCUUUUCGUUAUCCACCCCGUUUUUCUUGUUUACUUUGUCUAAUCGAUAGGUGUAGAGUUCUUUAUUUUGGAUUUUCUUUUUUAUAUUUUUUCAUCUCUUUCAGGAGGCCCUAGCUGUCUCCAUCAUGUACGCUUAGUUUAUUUUGCUUAAUGAAUGAAGCAUGUAGCUUACUACCUAUUUCUCAAAAAAGAAAAAAGGAAAAAAAAAAAAGCAUAGGGACAACUGGCUUCCGAAAUGAAUGGCUGUCGGCCGAAUGAAAAGGCGAGGAAUGACGCAACAUGUUUCCGACAGCGCGAGCUUCUAGAACCCAUCAAACUUCCAAAGUAUUCAAGAGGUUAUUCAAAUUUUACGUACGUUUCUGCUAUCAUCAUCAUCAUACGCGUAACGAAAUUAUGAAAUAUGUCGUAUGCCUAUUUUAUAUUGUAUUGACAUUUUUGGGAACCUAAAUUUAUGUAUAGCAUGCAUGCCCUCCUCUCGAGUUUAUCGUAUAAAUAUAUAAGCUCUACGUAAAAGAUCCGAUCCAACGUACAACACAAGACUAUUUUAUUUUAUUUAUUUAUUUUUCUUUUAAAAAAGUCAGACGGUUGAAUGCGUGAUUGUUUGAUAUAUCUUAAAUUUUAAAACUGCAAAUUUUUUUAAUUCUAUUCUAUUUUAUUUAUAAUAUUAAAUUAAAUUUAGAUUAUAAUUAAUUUUAUUAAGAUUAUUUUUAAUUUUAGUGGAUUUGUAUUUUCAAUUGUAUCGGAAUUUAACCACUAUUAUAAACAUAUUUUUAUUCUAUUAAUUUAAUGCGGCGGAUGAGAAAGUAUAUGUGUGUAAUUUUAGGACUAGAGCUUUAUGAGAGAGACAUAUUUUAUAUAAUAUUUUAAUUAUAAUGAAAAUCUUCACUUUGUUUUCGCUCGUAAAUAUCGGCCAGUGGUCAAACCACGUAAAUAUUUGUAUGCUUUAUUUUUCUCCCUCUUUCUCAAUUCUCUUUUGAUAUUUUUGCGCUCGAUGAACUAAAUUGUUUUCGCUUUUGUCAUAGGAAACUGAUAUCAGAGAAAAAUCUAAUAUCAUUAUAUGUCGUGGAUUUCAAGCAAACUGAUAUUGGAGCUGGAUUGUUCGUUUGAGUGUUUAAGACGUUGAUGAAAUUUAAGAUCGAAAAGUUUGAACACUCCAGCAAUUUCACUUUACGGCAAAUUGUCGUUCUGAUGCAACGAAGGUUGCAAAAAGUAUAACAAGAGAAAGAGAAGAUUAGUUGGUACAUGCAACAACACUUAAGUAGCUAUUGAGGUUUUAGCGGAAUACGAAGAAUUCAAGUCAAUAUGGAGAUUGUUAAAUAUGUCUCCAAUUCUGAAACCGUAAGGUUUCAUAUCCUUAUUAUGUUUUAAUUAUCUCAUUAAAUUAUGUUUAGAUUAUACGUACCUAAUCUUUUUGAGAUUAUUUCUAAUUAGUGAAUUUAUAUUUCUUGUUGUAAUAGGAUUUAUCCACUUUUAUAUAUACAUUCUUUAAUACAUUGAUUUGGUUUAUCCACUAUUAUAAAUAUACUUUUUAUUACAUUGAUUUGGUACGGCAUAUAUAUAAGUAUAUUUUUGAGAAACAUAUUUUAUAUAUUAUUUUGAUUAUAAUGAAAUCUCUGUUGUAUUUUCAUGUGUGAAUGUAUGCCAGUGGUUGAACACGUUUUAUUUUUUCGCUCUUUUUUGGUUUUUUUUUUUUUAAUUUUUGUGUUGGAUGAACUAUAUUUUUUCUACUGCAUGUUGUCUUAACAAAUUGGUAUUAGAGAAAAUUUUGUAUCAGUAUAUUAAGUCGCGGACUUUUAACCGUCACUAAUAAACAUAGUAACAGAUAUGCUCGAACUCUCCCGACUUUUUAUAUAUAUUGGUUGUUGGUUAACAGCCACUUGACUAGCUAGUUGUUGUUAUUCAUAUUGGAGCAAUCUCUAAACUGUUAUUUGUUUGCAAAUACAAAAUAAAAAAUAAAAAUUUAAAAAUUGUCAUACACAAUUGAAUUUUGCACUCAACUGUUGCGAUCUAUGCAAUCAAUCUGGGGCAUAUUUGUUUCAUGAUUGGAAUAUAAAUAGAAAAGAAAAUUAGAUUGUAUUGAAAUAAAAAAUAAAAUGAUAAAUUAUUAUUAUUAUUUUUUUAGAGAUAGGUAGCACGCUACCCGCUUCGUUUAUUUCAUUUAGAAAUAAACUUAGCUAGAAAUGUGAAUCAACUAGAAUUCGAACUUGGGUCUCGGAUACCAACCACGAAGCCCUUUGCCACUUGCUUUAGGGACGGUCGGUAAUAAAAUGAUAAAUUAUUAAAAAAUGUUUGCCUUAUUAUUAAUUAGAACGGUAAUCGGAAUGGAUAUCUAGAAUUUUGAGAGAGGGUUUUGGUUUAUUUAGAAUGUGUCAGUUCGAAAUUCAAAGUCAAAUUGGAUUAUAAAUGGAUUAGAUCAUUUUUAUUUCAGAGUACGUAGAAAAUGAAUUGAAAUCUAAUUCCUGUAAAACAAACAACGACUAUCUGAAUAAAUGAAUCUUAUUCCGAUUUCAUAGUCUAAAAUAUGUGAACUAAACAAGCCCUUAAAGUAAUCAACAUUAGCCGAAUAAUCUAUAAACAAUAUAUAAAGGACUCACUCUAGUGAUAUAAAUUAGUCUUCUUAACAUCAAAAAUUACUUUUGAUGGUAAAGGUUAUAACAACAGUUACCAUACUUAAAAAAUUGAAAAUCAAAUGAUAAAAUUAACUCUUUUACAACAAAACUUAAUUUAGUUUCAUUUGAUAAAUUGAAAGGAAAAAACAGCAAAGAUUGCUGAAUUUUAGUCUUUUUGCAAAUAGACCACUGAAAUUCUACUUUUGGCAAUUAAACAUCUUAAAUUAAUAGUUUACUAUGUCAUUUUCCUCGUGCGAAGCUAAUGAUUGAGCAGCCCUUUUGAUUACAUAUCUCACACCGUCAUACUAUAAAUCACAAAAAAAUAUCUUUUUUUUUUUUUUUGGGUACGAUGAUUAAGAAUAAUCAAGACCAAAGAAUAUAGUGAACAUAUAUAGUGUUGAUUUUUAGUACUUUUUUUUCAUUCGUUAGAAUAAAAGAAUAAAAUUGUUUCUGUUUUAACGCUUUAAUUAGGAGUAUUUGAUAAAGAUUAGAGAGAUUAAUUGUCAAAAGUAAAAGUUUAGGGACCUAUUUACAAAAUAGCAAAAGUUUUUGAGGUCAUGCAUGGUACAUUUUUCAUUUGAUUCAAUUUGGACCAAGGUGCUUAAUUAAUUAUAAAAGUUUGCAAGUUUGAAGGGCAAAUAUCAAGUUUUUAUAAUUUAGAUAGUUAUAAUUAAACAGACAAAAGUUUAAAUGAUUCUGAUACAUGUAAACCACCAAAUGCUUGUGAGGCGAAGGUGCAAAACUCAUUAAUUCCUAUUUUAAAAAUAAUGGAGCUUAUCUAAACUAUAUAACCAUUUUUUAUUCAGCUAUAUAUCGAACUUUUAGAAAUUUUAGUUUCAAUAUUUAAUAUUUUAAUUCAUUUUAUAUGAACCAGUAUUUUUGAUGAUUUUUAUACUAUAAAUUUGGAUGUAUUAUUUAUUUUUAUUGAUUUAAAUAGUAUAUUAAACAUAAUUAAUUUAUGUUACCUCGAAAAAAAAAAUUGUAAUUCACAUAAUUAUAACUCAAUUAAAGUAAGCGAAAGUCUUAAAUUCUAUACAAUUUGAGUGCCAAAAUAGAUCAUAAUUUGGAUAAGUUUUACAAUUUUAUUAAGUAAAUGUAAAUUCUGAAUAAAUAAAAAUAUUAAAUUUUAUAGUUUAAAUGAUUAUCUAUAAAAAGAUAAAAGCCGAUUUAUUGAAACCACCAAAGAGAUUGUGAGGUGGAUGUGUUCAAAGCCAGAUCUCUCUUAUUAGGAGGUAAUUAAAAUGUUUGAAAUCCCCCCCAACUGUAAGCAAUUUUGAAAAACACAUCUCAGCUUUUAUUAUUUCCAAAAUUAAGUGAAUUUCUUCAGAAAAUUAAGAACUAUUUUAAAUUUUUAAUAUUUUUAAUUAUUUUAUAGUAAAUAAAAUUUGACACAACUAAUAAUUAAUAACCAAUAAAGUGAUUAAAUUUAAUAAAUUUUUUUAAGUAUGGUAAAUUAAAAAGUUAAGAAGCGGAAGAAAUUAAGUCUACUAUGUAGUAGCUAUACCACAUUAUUUAUAUUCAGUCAAUCACAUAUUUUUUUNAUUUUGAAGGACAUUUCUAUAUAAUUCUAAUAAUUGUAGCUGAAUAAAUAUAUUAUUUUCACAUUUAUUUCUGUAAUAGUCUAGUGAUAUUCAUAUAUUACCCCUCUAUUUUAUUACCGUUAGAAUAUUAUUUAUUAUUUAACGGAAGAUAAGUAAAAUGAUAUUUUUAUCAUCAUAAAUAUAUUUUUUCAAAAGCCACAAUUAUUAGAAUUAUAUAGAAAUGUCCUUCAAAAUUUUAACAUCAGAAAUAUAUUUGAAAACGUUGAAAAAUUUUACAGGAAUAAAUAUAAAAAUUAAAUUUUUUUACAAAUAUAUUUUCUACUGGAUAUGUUUAUAUAAAAACUAUACGCGAAUACGCGAUUAACUUUUUUUAUUUUAAUUACUGAUUUAAAAAGUUGAGAAGGUACGAGUAGAAGAGUCGGUCGCUUCAAAUAUUAUGAGAAUUUAUUUAAGGUGAUGAUGUGGCAUCACAAUUUUAUUGCCACGUGGACUUUGUUGUAUCGACAGAGACAGGGAAGAGCCAAGUAGAACACGUUUCCGAAAUGCAGAGUCGUCCAACUGCUACGCACCACCGCCAGCAACCUUCCAAGGAAUUAAAUUUCCAUACAGGCGUGCGAACAGUGCAGCCAGCCAUUAAUACCGCUGUCUGCACCCGGCGCACAACAACAACAACAACAACAACAAGUACGCAAAUCUGCCGUUUCGACGCACGUCAAAUCACUUUAAUAUAUUUGUGGCUACCCGUGAUUUUAGUUUUACAAGUUAUCACAAUUUUAAGCUGUGUGCUAUACUUGGCUCUCGAAAUAAAUUGUUUGACAAUUUGGUUAGUGUAGUAAUAUAAUAAUUGAAAGUACUUUAUUGGCCAAUUUGCAUAAAAAAAUUAUUAAUUUUGAAAUUUUGCAAAAUUGAAUUGCCUUUUUCGAUUUUGCAUAUUCGGUCUAAAUUUUCAGUAAACUGAUAAAAAAUGCCCUAAUUACUUGUUCUCACUCUUCUUUUUUUUCUCGUUCGUUUUUUCUCUCUCCGAAGAAUGCAGCGGAGGCGGAAAUAGCCUCCUUCGCCUCUGCCUUGCACGCCUUCGCCCUCGCCCUCCUCGCCUUCGACCUUGCUGAGGCCGCGCCGCGCCCCUCCUUCUCCACUUGGGCAUAGCGACGUCGAGGCGCAGGCUCUUCUCUUACACCGUGCGUCAGAAUGCCGCGUCGUCGUCGGAGACGGUGAGCUCGCCUCCGACGACGUCGCGGUGGUUGCGAUAUAAAGCAAAAGAGAGGUGAUGACAAAAAAAAAUUAUACAGAGAAAAAAUAAGAAUAAUAAAAAAUAAAAAUAAAAAUAAAAAAAAAAUUCUACAGAAAAGACCAAAAAUUAUAGAAGAAGAAAAAAAUGAUGAAAUUGUACUGUUAAAAUAAGAUCACACUGUUUUAAAAAAAAUUUUGCACUGUUUUAAUGAAAGUUGCACUAUUUGAUAUAGAAAUCACACUCUUUUGGGAUAGAUUUUACACUCUUUAGGCCAAUGUUGCACACUUUAGGAGAAUUUUGCACCAUUUCUUUUUCUCUUCUUUUUCUCUUUAGGCCAAUGUCGCCAUCUGCGGGGCCCUCCAGUCCCUCUGCGUCCAGGACUGCCUCGACCUUACCAACUCCUCGGACAUCUCGGCGAGGUCGGCGUAGACGGCCAUGUCUGCGGGUGGAAGGCGAACGCGCUCCUGGAAGGCGAUGGUGGUAGAGUAGUCGCCCGCGCCGAUGCAGCGCGAUGUGGCUAUUGGCCCUGUUAGCACCAAUGACGACGUUGACGAUGAGGGUGGAGGAGAUCGGAUCAGCACCAGCGCGGGAGGAGCUGGAUGGGAUGUAGUGGAGGAGGGAAGGGUGAAACGGGGAGGAGGGGAGAGGAGGAAGAAGAAAAAAAAACGAAAUGGUGUAAAUUUCACCUAAAUAGUACAAAUUGGUCCUAAAGAGUGCAAAUUUGUCCUAAAGAGAGUAAUUUCUGAUCCCAAAGAGAAAAACUUUCAUUUAAAAUAGUGCAAAAAAUUUUUAAACAGUGUAAUUUUAUUUUAAUAGUGCAAUUUCAUCUUCUUAUUCCUUCUUCUAUAAUUUUUUAUUUUUACUUUUUUUCUUCUUCCUUCUUCUAUAAUUUCUUUUUUGGUCACGCUUCUCCGCCAACAGCCACGGCACCGGCGACGAUGUUGCUAAUGACACCCCGCUCCGAGGCUAUGGCGCCGCAGCGAUCUCCGCGGUGUCUAUGUCGGCGGAAAGGCGUCGUUGUCGGAGGAGGCGAAGGAGGAGGGAGAGGAAGAGGGCGAGAAGGGCUGGGAAGGGCGAGAGAGGAUGAGAUAGGCGUUGUCAUCAGAGGUGAUGGAUGAGGGUUGGUGAGGGGAAAAAAAAAAGAGUCGCAGCGCGAUCUCGGCAGGAUCAGAGGCAAGGAAGGCAGAGGGUGCACAGGCAAGGCCAAGGGUGCGUCGGACAAAGGCAAAGUGGGCUGCCUCCGCUUCUACCUCCGCCUCCACCGCCCUCUGCGGAGAGAAAGAAAAAAAGAACGAGAGAAAAAAAAAGAGGAGAGAGAAAAAGAUACAAGGGUAUUUAUGAAAAUCCGGUCUGAAUCUGCAAAAUCAAAAAAGGUGGCCCAGUUUUACAAAAGUGCAAAACUAGUGAAUUUUUUAUGCAAAUUGGCCUACUUUAUUUUACUUUUCUUAUUUUUUUUUGAGAAAAUAGGUAGCAAGCUACCUGCUUCAUUCAUAAAGCGGGAUGAAUUCAGCGUACAUAAUGGAGACAACUACGGUCUCCGAGAAAGAAAAGGUACAGAAAAAAGAACGAGGUAAUAAAAGAAAGGAAUAAAAAGUAACUAGUAAUAAGUAAGCAGUAAUAAGAGAGGUAAGGAGAGAGAGGUGUAGCAAGGGUGAUGGAGAUCGCUCAAUGAAGUAAGGUCCAGUCACUCAUCAAAAGUUUGACGCGUUCGAAUUUUACUUUUCUUAUUUUAAAAACAUAAUUUAAGUGUCCAAUAUAAAUAGGAUGAAGUUUUUCGCUGUUAAAACUAGGGAUGUAAAUGGAUAUGGAUACCCGAAUUUUAUCUAAAUCCAAAUUCGAACGGAGCGGAUUUUAUCCGAUGUAAUGGAUAUGGAUUCAGGUAUGGAUAUUAAAAAAAAAAAAAUCCAACGGAUUCGGGUUCGGAUAUAGAUAUUUUUAAAAAACCUGAACCUGAACCUGAACCCGAACUCGACCCGAACCCGAACUCGAACAAAUUUAAUAUGAUAUAAUAUAUAAAAAAAAUUUAAACCAUUAGAUCCGAAUCUAGAGGCCAAAAAAAUACUUACACUUUUAUAAUCUAAACCAAAAUACAUAUAUCUCUAUAAUCCAAACCUUAAUAUUCAAAAAUCAAAACCUUUCCAUUUUCCAAACCCAAACCCUCAUAUUCAAAAUCAAAACCUUCUCAUUUCCCAAACCCAAAGUCCCAAACCCUUAUAUUCAAAAAUCAAAACCUUCCCAUUUCCCAAACUCUCUCCAUCUCCAAACUCUAAUAGUUAAAAUCUCAAAAGAGAACUAUUUCAAAGUCUUCCCAUUUUCCAAACCCUCUACAUCUUUAAACUCUAAUAAUUGAAACCUUAAAAGAGAACUAGAAAAGUGAUUCUUAAAAGAGAACUAGAAAAGUGGUUGUAGACUUGUAUAGUCUCUUAUUCAUUCUUCUCCAAGAGGAUAUUUUGGUUUAUUAUUUUCUCUCUAAAAACCACAACAUCAAACCUAAGAGGAAAAAAUGUGAGGAUUUGUUUUAAAAAAAAUUGAAAAUUAAAAUUGCUUUUUUGAUGUGAGUUUUUUUUAUUCUUCAUAUAUGUCUUUUUUUUUAAUUUCUUAAGUUUAGUCUCUUAGUUCUUAUAGGUUGUUGGACAAUAGAACUAUUUUUUUAAAAAAAAAAUUUAAAAAAUUUUCGUUUUAUUUUUCACUUAAUUAGUAUUUUUAACUUUACUCCCUAGAUCUUGUGGGUUGUUGGCCAAUGAAACUAUUUUUAAAAAUUGUUUAGGAAUCUUUGUUUUUAGUUUUUUUGUAUAAUAUGUUUUGAAAUUUUGGCAAAUAAUAUUUUCGGGUUCGGAUUUUCGGGUUUAGAAUUGGGUUUCGGGUUUUUGGUCGGAUUCGGGUUCGGGUUUUCAGGUUCGGGUUCGGAUUUUGGAUUUUUGGUCGGGUUCGGAUUUGGAUAUGGAUUUUUAAAAUCCGUCGGGUUCGGGUUCGGGUUUCGGAUUUGGUAGUCGGGUUUGGGUUUCUAAAAAACCCGCCCCGAAUCCGACCCGUUGACAUCCCUAAUUAAAACUGUUCCCUUGACCAUUUUCAUGGAUCAUAUUAUUCCACCAACCACUCAUUAAAUCUUAGGGGGAACCACUAUCAUUCUAGCCGCACAUUUUUUUAUCCAAGGAUCGAAACUUAACAGCACAAAUGACUAGGUGUUAUUAAUUACAUUCCGACCUAAUUAUAUACGUAGGUUAGGACUACGAUACUCAUAAAGAGCCUUUUGUAUUUAUAAAUUUUCGGCCGUUGGGUGAAGGGAUGUGUGGCUAAGAUGAUAGUGGUCCUCAAUUAGGAUGGUAGUAAUCCCCUAGGGUUGAGUGGGUAGUUGGUUGAAUAGUAUGAUCCAACGGGUGAAAAUGGUUAAAGGAAUAAAUCUAACGGCCGAAAAUUUAUAAGUAAAAUGUGCUCUAUACUCAUAAGAGUGUAGUAGCCGGACUCUCUCUCUCUCUCUCUCUCUCUCUCUCUCUCUCUCUAUAUAUAUAUAUAUAUAUAUAUAUAUAUAUAUAAUAGGACUACUAUACUCUUAUGAAUAUAAAAUCCUUUAUACUUAUAAGUUAUUUUCAAUGAUGAGGCAUUCGAAUUAAUAAUCCACACCGUUAAUAUGAUCUAGAGCAUUUGAAAUUUUAGAAACUAAAUUUUAUAAUUUUUUGAAAUUAUAAUAAAGACAAUCAAGCAGAAUAGAAUGAAUAGUUAAAAUUGAGGGACCUUCUAAAAAUAGAGAAUUGAAUUUUUUUAAUUUAAGAUCGGAGUUAUUAUUCUUUAUUUAGAUAGUGAAUAGAAUUUUUUAUCAAAAAUUCAACCGAUUUCGAUUCUUUUACACCGUUAAACUAGCAACUAUCCCAUAUCGGUCGUUAAAAGUUAUCAACUUUAAGAUUCUUUUACACCGUUAAACUAGCAACUAUCCCAUAUCGGUCGUUAAAAGUUAUCAACUUUAAGGUUAUUUGAUUGUAAGGUAAAUGAUGUCGAAAAAUUAUGAAAUUUAGUUUCUAUAAGUUUUAAAUGCUCAAAAUCAUGUUUAACAUGCAGUAUGGACCGUUAAUUCAAAAGUUUAUAAUCGAAAAUGACUUAUAAAUACGAAGCCGAUCAUACUCACAAAAGUAUAAUAGUCGAACUAGACAGUAGGACUAUUGUGCUAUUAGGAGCACAACAGCCCUUGUAUUUCUAAGUUCGCAACCAUUCAUCAAUUUUGAUGGUUGAUUACGAUUAAUAGCUCAUUUCAUUAUUUAUCUCUCAAUUUUUCUUUUUUUGAUUUUUUUUAAAAAUUUUCUUCAGUCUCUCAUCCUAAUCAUCUAUUAAAAUUGAUAGAUAAUUACGAACUUAGGAGCACAAUGGUUGUUAUGCUCCUAAUUGCAUAGUAAUCUUACUAUAUAUAUAUAUAUAUAUAUAGAGAGAGAGAGAGAGAGAGAGAGAGAGAGAGAGAGAGAGAGAGAGAGUAGGGCUACUAAACUCUUAUGUGUGUAGAGCUCUUUGUACUCAUAAGUUGUUUUCGAUGAUGGAGCUUCCGAAUCAACAAUACACUCCGUUAAAUAUGAUCUAGAGUAUUUGAAACUUCUAAAAAUAAAUUUCAUAAUUUUUCGAAAUCAUAAUAAAGUUCAUCAAGCGGGCAUAAAAUGAACGGUCAAAAUUGAACGAAGUCCUAAAAAUGGAUGAUCGGAUUCUUCAAUUUAAGGUCAAAAUUAUUGAUCUUUAUCUAGAUAGUGAAUAUAAUUUUCUAUCAAAAAUUCAAACUAUUCCAAUUCUUUUACACAGUUUAACUAGCAAGUAUCCCAUACCGGCUGUUAAAAAUUGUUAAUUUUAUGACCUUUUGAUCAUAAGAUAAAUGAUGUUGAAAAAUCAUGAAAAUUUGAUUUCUAGAAGUUUUAAAUGCUCUAGAUAACGUUUAAUGGUAUGGAUUGUUCGAUUCGAAAGCUCUAUCAUCGAAAAUGAUUUAUGAGUACGAGGGUGAUCGUACUCAUAAGAAUAUAAUAGCUGGACUCUAUAUAUAUCCGAAUCGACGAUCCAUACCAUUAAAUGUUAUCUACAGCAUUUAAAAUUUUUAGAAUCAAAUUUUAUAAUUUUUUCACAUCAUUUACCCUACGAUCAAAAGGUCACAAAAUUACUAAUUUUUGACGGCCAGUAUGAGAUGCUAGUUUAACGAUGUAAAAGAAUUAGAAUAGGUUGAAUUUUUGAUAGAAAAUUCUAUUCACUACCUAGAUAAAGAUCAAUAACUCUGAUCUUAAAUUGAAAGAUUCGAUCAUCCUCUUUUAGGACGUCGUUCAACUUUGACCGUUCAUUUUAUGUCCGCUUACUAGACUUUAUUACGAUUUCGAAAAAUUACGAAAUUUAUUUUCUAAAAAUUUCAAAUACUCUAGAUUAUAUUUAACGGAGUUUAUCGUAUAUUCGGAAGUUCCAUCAUAGAAAACAACUUAUGAGUACGAAGGGCUUCAUGCUCAUAAGAGUAUAGUAGCCUGUUAUGUAUAUAUAAUAUAGUUCUUACUAUAUAUCCAUUUUUCCACCUUUGAAUUAUUACUAUUCCCCUCAUAUAAAUAUAUAUAUUAUGUUUGGAUAUCAAAAUAAUUUAUUCAAUAUAAUUUUUAUUUUUUAAAGUAAGAUAACUUGUAAUUGAAAGAUACUAUUUUAUUAAAUCAUUAACAUCAAGCUGCUUUACAAGAAAUAGAACUCAAACUGUUAUAUUGCAAUUACAAAAGAAAUUAAAUCUUUGAACCGAUAAGUUAUCAUUUGAUCAUAACUUAUUAUGACAUACAAAUGAAGCCUUAAUCUCACUCCUUAUUUACCAAAUAUAUAAAUUUCUAGAGUGAAUUAUGCAAAUAUACUUGACAAAUAUUUAUGCAUCGAAACAAAUACAGCCAAAAGGUGGUUUAUGGAUUAUAUUGUCUGAUCAACAUCAAAGCAUGCAUUUUAAUUUUAUGGGUGAUUUUAUAAAUGCCCUUCCAAGAGGUUAUAAUUUUAUUAGAGCAAUGCUUUGAUAAAUCUUACACCACUUUAUCUAAAAGUUAAUAUUUCAUAUUUGUCUUAUCAACUCUUCUUCGAUAUUAAAAAUUUGAACAAACUUAAAAAAAACUUUAAAUUGAGAGGUGCAAGAUAUACACUCACUUUUUGAGUGUGAAAGCACCUGCUUCAAAGUUCAAACUAUUACAAAUGCCUUCGCAAAUUUUAAAUAUAUUUUUGAAUGUCCCUCCUAGUUAAAUUUAUACAAAAUUUACUGAUUAGUUCUAAAUUUUCACUUUUAUCAUCCAGUACAAUAAAAAGUAAUAAUAUUUGAUGAAUGUAAAAUACAAUGUGUUCUCUAAAUUCAAUUGCUUCAAUGUUAUAACGUAUAACUAAUCUAAAAAUAAUUUGAAGCACUGGUAAUUUAUGUGGACUAUUUUUGAGUGAACCUCCUGACUUAAGAUGAAUAAAGAUAAAGUAGAGUUGUUCUAUAUAGGAGAACGCAAAAAUAAAGUGAGCAAACUAGCGCACAUCUUAACCUUUAAAGUGGGAGAGUUCCGUACUAAGUAUUUAGGAUUGCCGCUGCCCAGUAGAACCUUGAGGAAAGAAGAUUGCUUGGGAGUUACUAACAAAAUUCAAAGAAGAAUUGACAAGUGACAAGUUAAGUUACUCUUGCGUGGAGAUAAGUUAACGUUAGUGAAUGCGGUUCUCGCCAAAUUGCCAAUUCAUUUUCUUUCUAUCUACAAGGCGCCAAAAUGAGCCAUUAGGUGUAUUGAGGCGCUAAGAAGGGACUUCUUCUGGAAAGGUAGGCAAGGCACUACAGGAGGACCAUACAUUGUAGCUUGGAGGGGUGUGUAUAAGAGCAAGAAUGAAAGAGGUCUUGAGGUGGACUUAAUUGCCAUGAAUAAUGCCCUUAUCACAAAAUGGUGGUGGCGAUUUUUCACGAAUCUAGGCCUACACUUGAGAAAGUUGGUUAAAGACUUAUGCUAUGAUAGAAAAACGAACCUAAGGGAAGGGAAAUCCUUUAAACCGGCCUCGCAAUGGUAGAAAGAUGUGCUUAAGCUUUGGGACGCCUUCAAUUGUCGGCCUAGCCUCUCUUUAGGGGAUGGUCAACAAAUUGAUUUUUUGGAUGGACAGAUUGUGUGGUGAAAUCUCGCUACACUCUCUAGUGUUUGAAGUACAUAAAGUUGAACUCAAGAAUGUUACUGUUAAGAAAUGCUAUGCCUGCAAAGGAUGGAAAUGGAGAAAAAAUUUAAAAGGGAUUGAUUUGGCAAGUCCAGAUAGUGUCACGCCCCAAGGAUUCUUUUUGAAAAUCCCUUUUCAAGAAAGCCAAUAGAAAACACAUGAAAUUUUUUUAACAUCUUUGAAGACACCCCGCAACGCAUAUAGUGUUAGAAAUUGCGUACGGUAAAAACACAACGGAAAAAGAAAACAAACAAAUUUGAUUUUGAAAACUCUCGAGAUCCAAUCUCAAAAACCACACAAUUAGGAUCCCUCAUUCUCUUUAAGAUUAAAGGUGAAUAGUAAGAUCGAAUCUUUACAUUUUGCGCAAAUAGAUCUUCAUCUCAAUUUGAUGAUCGUAGAAUUAGGUUUUCUUGAAGCCGCACACAUGUCCGGCCUCUAUAGGUAUCCACACGAGGUUCUUGAUUUGAUCAAUGUCCUCAUCGGGGUUGCUAGCUCCCUUGCAAAAGGAUGUCUUUCUUGCUAGAAGAUAGAAGAAAGAGGAGAAGAGAGAUGACAGCCAGAGUUUUCUAAAAACUCCAGUAUAUUAUAUAGAGGAAUAUAAUCCUCUUUAAUAAUAUAAUAACCAUUAAGGAUAAGCACAAAUUUAGAUUUAAAUUUAUUCUUUCCUUGAUUGGUUAGAUCGAUCAAAUCCUAAUUUGAUUCGACUUGAACUUUAUAUUAAUUUGAUCAUAUCAAAUUAAUAAUGCAACAUUUGCACAUAAGUCCUCCUAUAAUUUACUAACUAUUAGUAAGUCUUCUCUUGUAACAUUUACACCUUAAUACCACUAAUUUGUAAUAAUUACAAAUUAGUCCAAUUAUCAACAUAUUGACAAUUAGGUUCUUCGGCGAUUCAAUAAUCAAAAUCUAGUUAUCUGAUCAAUCACAACCUCUUAUGUGUGUGACCCUAUAGGUUCUAUUCUAUCUGGUAGUAAGAUAUAUUUUGAUCACUAUCAACAAUAUCACUGAAACUCCUUUCAGUAGAUCGGAACAAUUCCAACUCAGCCCAAUAAGAAUUAUCGAUUAUUUAGAUAAUUCUCAUGAGUCUCACAAUCCACCAGUGAUGCCUAGCAGCAUUUGUGGCAUUCCAAUAGAAUGGAAUAUUGAACCUCUUGGUGCAGUUACCGUGUGAUACAAUCCUUCUAUCAUGAGUCCCGACUAGACGGAGGUUAUGGAAUAACUCGUCGAACCUCAUCGUCUGUCAUAUGUCAAAUUUAUUCGAUUCGAGUUUCUAAUAUCGGAAACGCUUUUCCGCUUUUAACUCUGCCCUGGUCAAUGUCUUCUAAAUUCGGUCUCAUAAAUCACAUAGGACUAACGUUUCAAUAUUUAAAAAUUAACUUUAUAUUUUAAAUCUGAAUUUAAUUUUAGCUAUUAUAAUUUCAAAUUAUCUUUAAAAUGGUUUUUAACUUGUUUAAAUACUACGUUAAAUUCAUUUGAUUUGGAUCAUUUGACUUGGAUCAUAAGUUCAAUUAAAAUGGUUUUUCCAUGGUCUAAAAAAUCACUUUGCGUCCAUGCAAAGUUUAGCCCAUUUUUCACUUUGUAACCACAUUAUUCUUUAAAAAUUUACUUUACCACCUAUUUUGACAUAGGAUUUUUUGAUAAAAUAACAAUUAACUGAUUAAAUUAAUCAGGUUUAUAUUACACUGGUUGAGCUAUCCAAUCAAAUAAUCAUAACUCGAACAGUUAAGUUCGGAUCGACUAUCCAUGUUCAAAAGUUAAAAUAUCAAUAUAUAACAUUCUUUCUAAUUGAAUUUUAGUUUUAACCAUCCAAUUUCAAUUUAUUAAGAGUUUUGUCUUGAAUUUUGACCACAUCAACUUUAACUCAUCAUUCAGCCAUCUAAAUUGAAGCGUGAAGCUCAAUGCAAUAAUCUAAAAAAUUUGAAUAAAGUUGGACAACCAAAGAAUAAUGUUUCUUAUAAUUUGAAAAAUAAGUUUGUAAUUUAUACUGAAACUUGUGAAGAUUGUAAAAGUUUAAUUUAUUUUAAUUAAGAUAUUGAACUGAAUUUGUUAGAACUAUUGAUCACAAAGUCAAAUUCAAAAUUUUUAAACAUCCACUUGGGGACAAUAUUUCAUAUUCAAUUACUAAGAGAUUGCAUAAUAAAACUUGUCAGUUGUAAUAUUUUAUAUUUGCAUAUAACUUUUGAUGCAAAAAAAUUUAAAAUUUGAGACAAAUUUAAAAUUUUAUUUCAUAAUCAAAUCAUACAAAUAAAUUCAAUUAAAAAUUGUAAAUAUAGAUUAGCUAUUACUUCAAAAAGGAAAGCAAAAUGUACAAAAAUGGAAUGGAAUGUUCUAUAUUUACUAAAGAGGCAUUAUGGGAAUGGAAAUAAAAAUUUUUCAAAAAGCCCUUGAUACUAAUUUACAUGAAAUAUUUUGCCCUCGGUAAGAGGAUAACCGGUACCUAAUACAACAAAAGCCGGUCACCCUCUUAAAUAAAAGGCAUCCUCACCAUCCAUUUUAGAAAAUUUUAGGGCUAAGAUCUGUUGGUGUAUAGGAGCAUUGCUUAUAUAUAUAUAUAUAUAUAUAUAUAUAUAUAGAGUGAGGCUACUAUACUUCUGAAAGUACGGAGCCUUUCGUGCUUUAAUGUUGUUUUUGAUAUUUCAACUUUCGAAUCGUCGAUCGGCUCCGUUAAACAUGAUCUAGAGUAUUUGAAGUAGUUAGAAAAUAAAUUUUAUGAUUUUUUGAUAUCAUUUGCCUAGUGAUCAAAAGGGCUCAAAAUCAAUAAUUUUAAUUGCCGUAGUGAGCCGUUUGCAUGUUUAACGGUGUAGAAAUAUCCAAAUCACGUGAAAUUUUGAUAGAAAAUUUUUUAUACUAUAUAAAACAAGAUCAAUAUCUGGAUCUAAAAUUUUAAUGUCAUCAUUAUCGAUCGGAGAAUUUUAUAAGGAGUUUUUAUUUUCAGCGUUGAUUCUGAGCCCCUUCGUUCACUAGGCAAAUGAUAUCGAAAAAAUUACAAAAUUUAUUUUCUGGUACUUCAAAUACUCUAGAUCAAGUUUAACAGAGCCGAUCGAUGAUUCGAAUGUCGCAACAUCGAAAACUACCUGGAAGCACGGAAGGCUCCGUGCUUCCAGAAGCAUUAUAGGCUCACUCAUAUAUAUAUAUAUAUAUUAUAUAAUUAAAAUUGAGGCUAGAAUACUUUUAGAAGCACCACCUUCUUGGUGCUUCUAAGUUUUUUAGCCCUUGGAUUAUCCUUGAUUAUUAAUAGCCUUUGGAUCAAACACUAUUUACUAUCACCACCUACCACCACCUACAGCAUCAUCCCAUACUCUACAUUCUUCAUCCAAGGCCUACAAAACUCAAAAACACCAUCUCUUUGGUGCUUUUGGAAGUAUUCCAGCUCAACUAUAUUAUUAUUAUAUAUAUAUAUAAAUAUAUUAGUGCCUACUAUACUAUCUAUAUAGUACGGGAGCUCCCGUACUAUGUGUUAUUGUUUUGAUCUUAGGGCGUUCAAAUCAACGAUCCCACACCGUUAAAUAUGAUCUAGGGUAUAUGAAGUUCUUUAGAAUAAAAUUUUAGUUCUUUUCGAUAUCGUUUACUUAGUAAAUAAAUUAUGUCAAAUGGACGGUGGAAUUGACAUACUAUCUUUAAAAUUUGAGCCAUCAGGACUUUUUAAAUUCAAGAUCAAGAAUUUAACCUUAAUCUAAUAUGUUAUAAAGAAUUUUCUUAAUCAGAAUUUGAAGAAAUUUAGAUUCUUCUCUCACGUUAAACUCGCAAACUCAUCAUAAUAGCCCAUUGAAUUUGACAAUUUUGAAAAUAUUUUACAUAAAGUAAACUAUGUCGAAAAAAUAUUAAAAAUUUUAUUUCUAAAACUUUUAACCCAUACCUCUAGAUCAGUUUAACGGUGUGGAUCGUUGAUGUUGAAUGCCCGAAGAUCGAGAACAACACAUAGUACGGAGCUCCCGGUACUAUAAGUAGUUCAGUAGCGGACUCAAUAGUAUAUAUAUAUAUAUAUAUAUUAAUAAUGAUUAUAUAAUAUAUAUAAGUUUUAAAAGCGUAAUAUAACUCAUUGCUUAAAAUAUUAUAAUAAUAAAAAUAUUUAAAAUCUUAAAGCAAAAAUAUUUCAUAAUAUGACGCGCAAUGAAAAAUUAGGAUUAUAAUUUUUAGAAUAGGUAAAUUAAAAAUAUAUAUUAAUUAAGAAAAUAUAUUUUGUAAUUAAAAAUAUAUGUAUGGGUACACACGGGUAUCCACGGAUAUCCGCAAGUUACCCAAAAUGCCCACUGUUUAAUGGGUACCCAUCUGUUUUAUCUGUAAUUUUUUGGGUUGAAAAAGUUGGUACCCAUACCGGCAAAUUUGUGGGUAACCCGUGGGUUUCGGUCAAGAUUGCCGGGUCUAGCUUUGUUUGGAAGUAAGAAUUGCUUAUUUCAGGGAUAGAUACAAGUUCAUGUAUAAGCAGGAACUGGACCAAUUUUGCGUUUGGAUGAAAAUUAGGUUGUUUUUAGAAAUAAGAUAAAUAGUAUUUGGAUGAUUAGAUUAGAACAAGCGGAAUGAGAGUUAUAGUUUUAAAUUAAAAUUAUUUUAUCUAAUUAAUUAACAUCAAAAUAUUACUUAAAAAUAAUUUAAUAAAAUAAUAAAUUCAUUAGCUAUGAAUAUCACAUAAGAUAUAUAAUAAAAAUAUAUUAAUUUAUUAAUUAAAUAUAAAAAAUGAUUUAACUUUUAAUUAGUUAGUAAAUUAUUUUAGCUAGAUAACUAGGUAAAAAAAUUAAUUAGAUUAAUAAAAAUAUUAAUAAUUGAUCAAUAUAAAUAUUAGUUUGUGGAUAAAUACAUUAAAUUAUUAAGAAGUAAUUAUAAAUAAUAAAUUAAUUAAUUAUUUUAUUAUUUAAGCAAUAAAUAAUAAUUUAAAUAUAUUAAUUAGAAUUAAUUAAUAAUUUAAUAUAAUAAUAAUUAAAAUUAAAUUUAGACUUUAAUUAACCUUGUUACCAUCUGGGAACAAUUAAACUUGUUACAAAAAAAGAAUGGAACAGCAAUUCCAGCCUUAUACCAGCGCUUAUUGCAGAAAAUCAGAGAGCUACUAUUUUCGAAUAACAAAUGCAGCAUUUGAGAACAAAAGGGGUAUAAGGAUUUAUAUUUUUCCCUUGUUUCCGGACCAAAUACUACCUAGGCGGCACCCUCAAAGGUAAGAUUUAUUAUUGUUAAGAAGUACGUUGCACAAAAAAUACUAAUGCACUAGGUGCAGGCAAUAGCUAGUGGGCUAAUCAAACGCUGGCAGGUACCUGUUGGCAUCGGGAUAUCGUUGGCAGUCUUUAAUUCCCGCGCUCUCCUGGUAGUUGAGCGCUUCCCCUCCCGUCCUUCAGAACUACUCGCAUUAAUAGGCGACCAACUCACCUAUCUCCCCACCACCCCCCCACCUCCUGCAGCAAAAUCCCCUCCUCCUCCUCCUCCUCCUCCUCCUCUUUUCACAUCUACUAUAACUCAUACUCAACACUCACUUUGCUUUCCCGAUCGAACACUCUACCUCAUUAUAAAUUAAAUUCCACUAGUCUCGCUUUGAUACCGUCAUUUAUACAAAUCUCCUCACGUUCUCCAAAAGUGAUUAAUUACUGGUGUGGUGUGAAGGGAUCAAAUAAUAAUUAAUGGAGGAGUCCUCGGCAAUGGACCGCGAGCGCCUGACGGCGGAGAUGGCCUUCCGGGACUCGUCCAUCGUCAUCAAGAUCCGCCGCCGCCUUCCCGACUUCGUCCAGUCCGUCAACCUCAAGUACGUCAAGCUCGGCCUCCGCUACGCCGACAGCCCCGCCGCCGUCUACCUGAUCCUCCCGCUCGUAGUCCUCGCCACCGCCUACGUCUUGUCGUCCGAUUUGAUCCCGUCCAUAAAGUCGCGGCUCGCGAUCGACCUCGUCACCGCGGCCGCGGUGGGGGUGGUGGCGCUGUUUCAGACCGCUUACUAUCUGAAGCGGCCGCGGCCGGUGUACCUGAUCGAGUUCGCGUGCUACAAGCCGGACGACGAGCACAAGAUCUCGAAGGAGGGGUUCCUGGAGAUGAGCGAGAGCACGGGGAGCUUCAACGGGGAGUCGCUGGACUUCCAGACGAAGAUCACGACGCGGUCGGGGCUGGGCGACGAGACGUACCUGCCGCCGGGGAUCCAGGCGCGGCCGCCGCGGCUGUGCAUGGCGGAGGCGCGGCGCGAGGCGGAGGCCGUGAUGUUCGGCUGCCUGGACGCGCUCUUCGCCGCGGCGGGGGGAUCCUGGUGGUGAACUGCAGCCUGUUCAACCCGACGCCGUCGCUGGCGUCCAUGAUCGUGAACCACUACAGGAUGAGGGAGGACAUCAAGAGCUUCAACCUCGGGGGGAUGGGGUGCAGCGCGGGGCUGAUCGCGGUGGACCUCGCCAAGGACCUGCUGCGCGCGAACAAGAACGCGUACGCCGUCGUGGUCAGCACGGAGAACAUCACGCUCAACUGGUACUUCGGGAACGACCGCUCGAUGCUGCUCUCCAACUGCAUAUUCCGGAUGGGCGGGGCCGCGCUGCUGCUCUCCAACCGGCGGGCCGACGCCGGGCGGGCCAAGUACCGCCUCGUGCACACCGUCCGCACGCACAAGGGCGCCGACGACGGCUGCUACGGCUGCGUCUACCAGAAGGAGGACGCCCGCGGCACCGUCGGCGUCUCGCUCGCCAGGGAGCUCAUGGCUGUCGCCGGCGACGCCCUCAAAACCAACAUCACCACUCUCGGACCCCUGGUACAUAUAUAUAUAUAUAUUUAUAUAAGUACCGUCCACUUUAAUUUCUCUAAAAAUAGUCUGAAAUUUUUACUUAAAUAAGAAAACUAUAAUUGCAAUAUAAAUACAUUCUGUAAAUUGUUUGGCGGCGGUCGAACGCUAUUAGUUUUAUUAGAAGAAAAUCGAACCGACUCGCUCUCGCCCUUUCUAUAGACUAUAUAUGCUCCAGAAUUAAUAACAACACAAGGCUAAUUAGUUUUUUUUUAUAUAUAUAUAUAUAUUUCAAAUGUACGUAAUACAAUUAAUAUUAUAUAAUUUCUAAAUAUCGCAUGAAUCAUUAAUAGUCAUUAAAAAGAAAGAAAGAAAGAUAGAGAGAAAAAAAAAAGAAAGAAAGCUAAUUAAAAAGAUUUAAAAAUAUUUUGCUGAUGAUGAACAAAUGAAUUAAACAGGUCCUCCCGCUCGGCGAGCAAUUCAAAUUUCUGAAGACUCUGUUCGCGAGGAGAGUUCUGCGGAUGCGAGAGGUGCGGCCGUACAUUCCGGACUUCCGGAAGGCGUUCGAGCACUUCUGCGUGCACGCGGGCGGGCGGGCGGUGCUGGAGGAGGUGGAACGGAAUCUGGGGCUGAGGGAGAGGGACAUGGAGCCCUCCAAAAGCGUGCUGCACAGAUUCGGCAACACCAGCAGCAGCUCCCUGUGGUACGAGCUCGCCUACGCCGAGGCCAAGGGGCGGGUUCGGCGAGGCGACCGGGUCUGGCAGAUCGGAUUCGGGUCGGGUUUCAAGUGCAACAGCGCCGUCUGGCGGGCGCUCAAAGACGUGCCGCCGUUGUCCGCCGCCGGCGCGCGCGGCCGCUGUAAUCCGUGGGCCGAUUGUAUAGAUAGCUAUCCUCGGAAGUAAUUUAAAAAAAAAAUUAAAUUAAAUAAUAUAAUUUGAUUUUUUUUCUCUUUUUUUUCUUUGGUGGAUGUGCUAAUUAAUUAGUAUUGUGGUUUCCCCCGCCAAAGCAGUGGAGCCGGGAAACAGUUUUUUUCCUUUUCAAUCACAUGAUGAUUAUUAUCAUUAUUAUUUUUCUAGAAGCUACUGUGCUAUUUCUAGGCUGUAAUUGGGUGGUUUCAUUCAAUACUAUGUUUGUGAUCAACAUAAACAGCAAAGCGUAAAUACCAAUACCAACUUACAGCAAACACCUCAAUUUUUAUUUUCUUUUUCAUUUUCUGUUUUUCUUUUUUUUUUCCCCAAAGAGUAUUCUUGCACACUUGAGAGCCAACAUUAACUGCAAAUCACAAAAAUGGCAUUUGUACAAGAAAUAGGACACGAUAAAGUUGCUCUCUAUUAUAGCAGCUCUCUGUUUCUUGUUUCUGUGGGAUACUUUUUUGAUGCUUUUAUUUGGCAAACACAUUACUUUAUUUAAAUCAAAAGUACUGCAGUUAAUUAUAGAUACUAUCUUAUCAGAAUCCUUAGUACUGCCUGCAAAGUAAUAUGCAACAGUAAAAAUCGGAAAAUGCAAAAACGGUCAGUUUGAAAAGAUAUAAAAUGUGUUAAAAAAAACAAUUUUAAAAUAAAAAAUUCAUUUUUUAAAAAAAAUGAUUUUUAUUUUUAGAAAUAAUUUUCUAAUUUUAGAGGGUCCAAAAGCAAAAGUAGCUAAAAAUUAAUUUUUAAAAAUUUGAUUGUGAUUUUGGAUUAAAGCUUUAAAUUAAAUUUUAGUUUUACAUUCAAAUUUUAAAUUUAAAUUAGAUUUUACAUAUAAAAUAUAAAAUAUAAAAUUUAGAUUAUAAAUUUAUUUUUAAAUUUUAAAUUUAAUUUAUUAUAUUAAUUUUAAACUUAAAAAAUAAAAUUUAAAAUUUAAAAUUUAAAAUGUAUAAUUUUAAUUUUAAAAAUUGAAAUUUAAAAUUUAAAAUUUAAUUGUAAAGUUUAAUUUUUAUUUUUUAAUUUAAAAUUUACAUUUAAAUUUAAAAAAUAAUAAUUUGAAAAAUUGCAAUUUUAUACAUUAUAUGUUCAAUUUUAAAUUCUGAAUUUCAAAUUGUAAAGUUAAAUUAUAAAUUUAAAUUAUAAAAUGAUGUAGUUUCUGUGUUUCGGCGCUUCGAUGCGUCGUACGAGGUAGAGAGGCUCGCGUUGGUGAGAAUGGGGGUCGGAGGGGGAGGGGGAGGGGGAGGAAAGGGUUGGAGAAUAGUAUAAUUUUUUUUUGAAACAGUAUAAUUUUUAUCGAAAGAACACAAUUUUUAUUUUAAAGAGUGUAAUUUUCAUCAAAAUAGUGCAAUGUUUAUAUUAAAUAGUACAAUUCUCUUGUAAAAUAGUAUAAUUUUAUUUCAAAAGUCCAAUCUUCAUCUUCUUCUUUCUUUUUUUCUAAUUCUUAAAUUUUUCGGUAAAAGCAAUGAUAUAUAAUGGUCUUUCAAAAAAAAAAAAUUCUUUAUUUUUUCACUUUUUAUUUUUGUUUUUU